rnacentral:lncRNA from 1 species
GAGUUGGAGGUAUAGGUGGGGAGUUACAACUAGAAAACUCUUAGAAUUUAAUAUUUAGUUUGGACUAAACCUAAACCUAAACUAACCUAAUUAAAUUUGAAGUGGUUUGGUUCACAUAACUAAUUUAAAAUUUUAAUUAUUUGUUUGAAUAAUUUUAAAAUCAUAAAACCGCAAAUUUAACAUGUUAAAAGGAAAAUAUAAAAUUCAUCUUUUUAAAAUAUAAUUUAAGAUAUUUUAUGCGUUGAAACUACAAACAUUUUAAUCUAAUUUAAGUUAUGAAUUUUAAAUUAAAAUUUUAGUCUUAAAUGUAAGAAUUUUCAUAAAAUAAUGUGAUUUGAAUACAUAAAUUUAGUUCAAUUCAUAAAUGUUUUUAUUUUAUUUAUUAAUUAUUUAUUUCAGUUAAUUAAUUUUUUAUUAAAACAAUUAAGUGAAGUCUCUUGCCACGUCAUAGUCAUUUAAAAGUUUUAUGUGGUAAGUUUCAAUUAGAUUUAUGUCAUCUACAUCGGUAUAAUUUUAGACGGUAAGAGAAACUAUUUUUCCAAACGAAAACUAUGAGGAACUAAAACAUCUUUUAAAUUUUAGAAGAAACUGAACUUAGAAGAUUGUAGUUUUAUUAUGACUAAAAAUAUAUUUAAUGCUUUAUCUAAAGUUUGUAUGACUUGUUCCUUUUAAAGUUUUUGAUGUUUCUAACUGUUGUUUUGCUUCUAUUGGAAGAGACUCCACUGGAGUUUGCCUCUCUAAGAGUUUCUAGUUGUUCUCGAGUCUUGGGCUCCCUUUACUCACACCAAAAAAAUCAAUCACAAAUUUAGUAUGCAUUGAACACAUAAAAAUUCAUCAUCGAGGUGGUUAGUUACUUCCUACAGAGAUUCGUAUACAUCCCUAAAGAUAUAUUAUUACCAAGUUUCGGAGAUGAUUUGAAAGCAGAACACAUAGCAUAAAUAAUCAUGACUAAAAAAUUUCAUGUAUUUUCUCAAGAAAAGUUUUACAUAAAAGUGCACAGAAUAAAAUAGAAUUAUACACUUCAAAAUUGCACCAUUUUCUUCUCUCAAAGAUAUCCUACUCGUAGUACAGGCCUAAUUUCUUUAUGGAGAACAGCAAUAGAGUCUCACGGCUUUCGAAUCCGAUAUAAGAUGCAAAGCAAUACUACUUCCUCAUCUGCGUGAAUAGCUCGGGUGGUUUAUUACCUCCAACGUUACUAAAAGCAGAGAAACCACCGCUUCCUUGGCUGCUAAAUGCUCCAAACCCACCACCAGAACCAGCUCCUGCAAAUCCACCACUUGAAUUAGCAGCAGCAGCAAAACCACCACCACUCGGAGCAGCAGCACCGGCGAAACCACCACCACUCGGAGCAGCAGCACCGGCAAAUCCACCAACAGGAGAAGCGAAUCCAGAAAAUCCACUACCGGUUGAUGUAACACUUGCAAAUCCUCCACCUGUGGAUGCUAUAGCAGCAAACCCUCCAACUGUUGAUGUUCUACCAGCAAACCCUCCACCCACAGCAGCAUUUGAAAAUCCGCUAGUAUUACUACUCGUAGCAAAUCCACCACCAAAACCAGUGGGAGCUGCGAAACCACUUCCAGGUAGAGCACCGCCAAGUUGCCUUGACUGUCCAAAACUACCAAGAACUGAUCCAAGAACCUGCUGCCCCGAUCCUCCAAUUUGUGCUGGUUGCCCAAAUGCACUGGGAGCUUGUGCAGGAACAGCUGCCCCAACACCGAACCCACCAGAAAACGCACCUGAAUUUGUUGACUGAGUUGGCACGGAUGAUUGGGAGCUUGGGAAUGUAAAAGAUGCUGGUCGAAACAACUCUCCGCUGGGAACUGAUAAUGCAACUGGAUUUGAUUGUGGGCUUGAUAAACUUGUUGCUACAUUAUUAAAUGAACCACCAAAUGGAUUUGAUUUAGGAAUUGAUGGGUUAGGGGUUGAGCCAAUCCCAAACCCACCAAGGCUUCCCAAACUAAGUUCAGUUGAGUUACUUGUCUCGGGAGCUUCUUCCUCCAUCUCAUCCUCCUGAGAGAUUCCAACAUCCAAACCCCCAUUUUUCCCGCUUGAAACACUAGUAGAAGUAAGAAAAGAAGUUGAAAGUUGCGGAGGUGUGUCUGAAGGCUGUUCUGAUUGAGAAACUGAGACAAUGUUGGUAUCAGAACUUUUUAUAUUGUUGGCAGGCUGUUCAAUUGAAGGACUGAAGUUUCUUGAAGAUCCGAGCUUCAUUUCAGAUUCACCAUUUAGAGAUUUAUUUGGCUGAGUGACCACUUCUGCAGCAGCAUCUAAAUUUGUCUUUAAAUUAGGUCCACUAGCUGGUUGAAUCUCUGAUUUGUGCGACUCUGAUGUUGUAUUAAAGGAGGGUGGGUUGGGUAAUGGGGACGAUGUUUGUUUAGGGGCCUGGUUAGAUAAAGAAAGUAAACCUGAUGCCGAAGAUGUCGUCAUGUGAUUAGAAUCUACACUGAUUUUAGAACUAGUAGUAUUGCUUAAUGUCACCGACACUGCUGCUGGAGGAACAGCUACAGACGACACAGAUGAUGAUGCUGAAGAAAUCGACGGUGUUAAAUUAGUUGGAGACAACGGAGAUUCACGCAAACCGCUAAAUUUGGGCAAUGCUGGAUUAUUAUUGUCAGGCCAGCUUUUAUCAAAAUUGAACUUCGUAACUUUUUCAACCUUGGUUGAAGCUGUAGAAAUAGAGGACAAGUGUGACUCUGAGGAUGGAACAUUUUUUUUCCAAGAUUCAGGAGUAAAUGCACCUGAAAGUUUGUCUCCCAUCGGGAAACUUGUAGCCAUAGUCAUUUUACUGUUUGUAAUGGGCAUUUCACUCGAUUUAAUCAGAGACGAAGGUGUUUCUGUAGUAGAGCGGGUAGAGAUUGAGAACUUUUGAGGCAUUUCCUUGAGUGAAAAAGGCUUGUUCUCACUGUUUGAAAUUGAAUCAAAUUUUUUAACAUUUGAUUUUUCAGCAGCCAGAUCUCUUGCUUCUGUGGAAUGACCAAACGCGAUUGCAGGUGACAAGUGGAAUGAGGGACGUGGAGGAACUGCAGAAAUAUUACUUAUUUGCAAAACACGAGACUUGGAGUCUGAAACUUGAGUACGUGCUUUGAGGUUACCAUCCUGUAUAAAUGCCUUUGAUUGUUCUGACACCUCUUCAAGUGCAAGAUGGGAAUCCAGAAAGCUUGCUGCAAGUAUAUUAAUAGACAAGUGUCAGACAUUAUAAACCAUUAGUUUAAAUCAGGUCAACAAUUAAUUUCAGCUUACCUUUCAUUUCAGAAGUAGGGAGGACACCUGAGGGAAUUCUGGCAUUCAUUUGAUGAGGAGCGGAUUCCACCGGCACGGAAGUUUUGAUUUUUUCUUUUGAAAAUGAUGAUUCUUUCCAUUUUGGUUUUGGGAGCUCUUGUAGCAGCAUUCUUUUGAUGAUAGUUUUAGGAGGUUCAGAACAGGUCCAACUCUGCAUCAAAGUUGUUUAAACAUACAAUACAAUAACUAUCAGAACCACACUCGGUGAGGAUAAAGAUCUAUCCCAAAAAAGACCAACGAAGAAACUGGCUAGAAUGAUCAUCCAUGGAAAUCUUGUGGCAAGUAAUUAAAGACAGAAUGAGUUAAAACUUCUCCAAAUCCAUCAAGAAACAGAUUUGGAAGCUUUAAACCAUAACAAAGCCACAAACCAAUCGGUCUGGUUCACAACUCUUCAUAGCAAGAAAAGAUAGAGUAACUUAUAAGUAACAAAUACCUGAUCAAGUGAGUCUCUCCUCCUCCUAGCCGUUUCUGGUUCACAACUCUUCAUAGCACUGGCUUGAAUUCUCUGGGAUUUAUCUUUAUUAGUAGUCAAAUCAGAAAACAAGAGCUUCUUACUAGAAGGAGUCUUCAUAAAACCUUUCGUGUCUGGAGAGCCAUAAGAAGCAUCAUAGGGAAUUCCUAUUGUUUCAAAGAGCUCCUUCACAUUCUUUUGUUUCUCAGAUGGGGACCUUAAACUCAAUGUAGCCAUUUGUUUUGAAAGGCAUUCAGAGAGAUUUUCUGCAGCUACAAGUUGCGACCUGAUUGCAUUCUGUAAACUAUGCAAUGACUGAAUGUGUCUGCAAAUAAAUUAGGGACACUAUAGUAAAAUAGCAAAAAAUUGCAAAAAAGCUCGAAUCUAAUGCAUAUCUAGACAACACAUCUCAUCAUCUGAUUCAAUGUAUUUUGUGCCUAAUGUGAACUAUCAACGAAUUAUUGGCAAAAUAAGAGAGCACGGAACUCCAUCACCCAAUCAGGGAUAAUAUAUAUCAAUAAUUCCAUAUUAGAUGUAUAGAACAGAGUAGUAGCAGCCUUGUUGCAUUGUUAUAUAUUCUACUGUAACACAACAGCCUUCAACCUUUCUUAAUUCACAAGGAAUGGCCUUUCAACAUAUUAGCUUCAAAAGGUAAGGAAAAAUAAUAGAUUAUUUGAAGAUUGUAAAAUAAAAAACACCACAGAAAUGUAAAAGAGAAAAAUGGUUAAGAAACAAAGGCACCCUAAUGUCUAUGCGUUAUGACUAGUAUGUAAAUGAUCUAUAUACCACAAAGGCAAACAAGACAAUUGAUCUAGAUGAAACCAAUAUUUCUAUGAUUCAAAUUACAAGAACUGCAUUAAGUGGGUUGAGCAUUACAUAUAUUAAGUGCAGUUGAAUUAAAUAGAUUGGAAUAAUCAACUUGUAUUUCACAAUAUGAUUGUGCAAAUAUAUGUACAAGAGAGAAUCUCCCAAGAAAGGAAACAGAAAAAUAAGGAAACUAUAUCAAUGACAACAAAUAGAGAAUGAUCAACAAGUGCAAAAGCAACCACAAUUUAACCAUACCUUGAAGGCCCAUAUCUAUUUUGAGAAGCUCCACGACCAAUGAGAUGGCCGCCAUUUUGGCUGAAUUUGUUUAGUUCAAGAGCAUUGAAAUGUCUCUCCAAUUCAACUAACUGAUAAGUUAAAUCCUGAAAUAAUGAUUGAGAUAACUUGUUCAACACUAGGCCAUAGAAAUAUUUUGUUGGCAAAUUAACCCACAUACCUGAUUCAGACUCAGUAUAUGCUGUCGCUUUAGCUCUAGUUCUGAAUUCAACUUUUGUCUAUUCCAUAGGUCCCAAUAUCGGCUAUCACAAGCUUGCUUAUAUAUGUCUUCCAUGUAUACUUUUCUUGCCACCACUGAUAUUCAACCAGAUAACCAUUUAGAUCAAACUGAGAAAAGCUGAUUUGUCAAUUUGACCAGAAAUUGUUUUACAUAAUUAAAACUAGCAUGUCAGGGACUCGUGAUAGAUAAUGUGAUUUUUUUAUAUAUAAAAGAAAAUUGAGUAUUUUAUUUUGUGAAAUAAAUCAAAUAUGGGAGGCUAAAUUGAAGUUUGAGCUGUGAAAGACUUGAGUUUUCAAACAUCACACUAAAACUGAAUUGUUUCAAUUGCGUGACUAAAAACAAGUAUACAAUAGAAUACAAAUCAUACAGAAACCUAAGGUCCCAUGAUUGAAAUUGCGGAAGUGGAAGCCACACCACUUAUUUAGCAAUAACAUGAUCCAAAUCCAAUGCUUUGAUAAUGUGACAGUCAACUUCCUCCAUAGAUGGAAGGAAAACUUUUUAAGGACCUAAUUGAAACCAACAUCUUUCAAGGACCCAAAAUUUAGCCAAGAUGAAAUAUAAUUAGAAUUAUAUUAUAUUUGGUACUUUACCAGCUGCUCCCUAUGUCACAUUCUAAGUUUCAUUUUAGGUCAUACAAUGUUUUAAACAAAUGAUUAGUUAUCGAAUGAUAAACUGUCAUUCCAAUCAAUUAAAUUGGGAUGCCCUGUACCUGGCAUGUUGAUUUCUAUGGUAAAAUAAUAUGUAUAGCCUAAAAUACCCAUAUUAAUUAGAAUGGUUGAAAGUAGUAUUAGUGGAAUAGUUAGAUGGAUUAUUUAAUUUAAUGAGGGUAUUGUUGAAAAAGUUUAAUAAAUGUUGUCUUUGGUAUUCAAAAGUGACAAUUAAUUUGAGACAUAAAUAUUCCAAACAUGACACUUAUAAUGAGACAGAGGGAGUAUAUAAGAAAAAGAUGCCAUAUCAAACAAAAACUUCAAGAAAAAUGAUUCACCAUUUACUUUUCAAUAUUCUUCAUUUUUUUUCAAAAUAUAUACACAUUAAUAUUAAUGGAUUGAUACAAUUGUAUAAUUUCUUUUGAGAACAAUUCCAUGAAAAGCAAAUUACAUAAUUCGAUUAACCUUGAAAAAUCCUAUCAUCGUGAUCAUAUACAUAUAAAAACUUGCCUAUAAAUGAAUAUUACCUUGUAUUGUCUUGUUAAGAAGAAAAUGAACCUCCUCAACAUGUUGAUCCACCUGGCACUGCAAAGUGAAGCAGGCAAAGUUUGAAAUUUGAAUAUUGAUAAUAAUAUAAUUAAAAACUCCAUGAGAACAAAAACUGAACAAAGUAAUGACAUUUUUAUAAAUAGGCAUUUAAAUACACAAUUAAAAGUCAGAAGUAGACACAUCAUUGUGUUGUAAACUAUAAUCAAACAAUAGAAUGUAUGAAACUUCCAGUAUACUCUACAUAAACAUAUAGACCGCAAGAUCAAAGGAAAGAGGUUGGAGUUUUGCCUAUAUCAGCUGCACUUGCAGUUUUGGUUGGUUUUCAUGGGUAUGGGCUUUGAACAUGCCACUUGUAGACAAAGUGAAUCACAGAAUUAAUUUGCAGCAGUCAGUUAUUAUGGACGUCCCGUUAUUAUUUUGAAAGAUUUUUUCCAGGAAUAUGUGGACCAGAAUGUAUUAGUGUUUGGGUGCUGACAUAGCUGUUUUGGGAAGUUUCAACUUUAGAUUUUGGAAACUGGAAUGAACUACAAUGAUUAGUAGCGCACUAUUUUGGCAAAGACAGAUGCAUCAAUGUGGUCUCCUACGGAUCUAGUAGAUGCUGUAAUUUUGUUGAAAAUGCAUCAGUAGGCAAGAGAAUCAAUCCUUCCUUUAGCUGAAGAGGUUGGUGGAAAUAAGGAGUUAUGUCAUCAAGCUGAAAAAGUCAAAAUGCUGACCUAUCAACUAGCUACAAAAGAAAGGUUAAAUGUCUCCGCUGGGACCUUAGGAGAUGCUAUAAUUGCUCGUUCAGAUGAGGAUCUAAGGGGUUUCUGAUUUGAUUAUGGUGGAACUUACAUCAUGCUUAUGGUUGCUUGCCGAUUGAACACCAAUGGACUUGGAGAUUUUAGACAAUAAAGACCCUUGUGAGAUAUUUUAUCCAUUAUCUUUGACUCGGGGAUAAGGUGGGUGUUUGGGGGAGAGUAUUGUCCGUAACAUGACCCCAAUCUCGAGAGUAUAGAGAAGGAGAAAUGAAGAUGGGCCAAUGGUUCUGUUGGUUAAAAAGAGUUAAACGCAUUAAUUAGAACAAAAUAUUUAAAUAUAGUAGUAUUUAGGACAGAAUAAUACCAAAUGUAAUUAUCGGAAGUAGGAUUUUUAGGAUAACAGGGCAGAUUAUAAGAAUCAGGAAAUGACACAAUGUUAAAUGUAUUAGAAGAGAGGGAAAUCGCCUGUGCAUUUGUGAGAGAAUUGGGGCCCAAUAGGGCCCAAACAGAUAUAUAUAUAUUUUAAAAAAAUGCACUCAGAUCAGAGGUGAGAAACCUCUGAUACAAUACGUAAACCAGAAAACUAUAAGAAAAAUAAGACUUCCACUGGACUGGAGCAGAGCUACUUACAAACGAGAGAGAAACGUAAGAGACAAGAAAAAUAUCUCCUCAACUGAAAACCAACCCCUUUUCUCAAAAAAAACCACAGUACCAAAUUGAUAAUUCUCAUAUACCCACCCCUUCGGUUACCCUCUCCCCCUAUUUAUAAUUCUCCCUCACUCAUCCCUUGAUUCCAGAAUCUAUUCCUCCUUUCCUCUUUACCACAUGUCAUUUUCUGGUAUUCCAUUCCCUCUCUCCUCAAUAACACCCAUGUGUUCCUCUCUCCCCCUCUUGCCUCUUCAGUCUCAUGCUUAUUCCUUCUUUCAUAACUUAUCAGCCCCUUAUUUUUAGGACCAUUUUCUUUAUUUCUGCUUUCUAUUUCCUCUCCUCUUAAACACAUGUUGAGUGGACCUAUCAACCUCCCUUGUCCUCAAGAUGAAGGAUGAAUAAACCAAACACUCCACCAAGAUCCCACUGUAUGAAGUCCCUAGCUGCAACAUAGUGAAUUACAAAUAUUUCAUACCCUUGUGCUACCAAUUCAAGACCAAACCUGACACCACAGCCUCUGGUAAUAGAAGUCUGAGUAGCCAUUUUGGAUGAAUUAGCACUAGAUACCAUAUAAGAUUCCGGAAAUUGAGUUUACAGAAAAAGAAUCUAAGAGGAAAGUGAAAUAAAUGUCCACAACAAGGAAUAGAUAGAUUCAAGCUCCAAAAUUUUAACAAGUCAAUGAAAUGGCAGUGUCAAGCAACAAAAGAAACAUCACCGUCCGUAUUUUGCAUUGUGUAGAUAGAAUGUUCAUGCUUUGUUCCACUUCCUCAAUUGAACUUUGAAGUGACCUGGUGCAAGCAUCUCUAAAGCCUCCAGCUUCUUCUAUUGACUUCAAAAGCAGAUCCAAUUCUUUGGUCAUCUCAUUAAUCUAGGACAGAGGCAAAAAAGUUAACACAAUAAGAACAUGGAAAAGGGGCUAUAAGGGUCUUUGUCAUCUUACUCUGUAGAUUUCUUUUCGUCUAAUACAUAUGCAGAUACAUAAUCUAUUUAAUAACUAUUGAUGAAUUUAAAAGCAGAGAAGAAAAAUACAGAGCAGGAUGACGGAGACUCCACAAGAUAAAUGAUUAAGUUAUCUUCAUCAGUAGUAUCCCAUUAUGAGAAAAAUAUCUACCAUCAAUUAUAUUAAAACUGUGAAAGAUAGAAAUAAUACAUUGCCAAAUUGCUUUGUCGAAUCAGAACUUGAUAUCGCAGACUUGGAUGAAUUUACAUGCUGCUCAUCAGAAGGAUGAAACUUUCGUAUAGCUGACUUUCCGGUUGUAGGAUUUCCAAGUAAUGACAAAUGUGAACUUUCUGCUCCUAUUGAACCUAGUUUUCCACCGCUCUGAAAUGGUUUACUGGCAGAAUAAACGCUAGGAGAUUCAACAUUCACGUCCUUAGAACUUAGUUGUCCACCACUCUGAAAUGGUUUGCUGGCAGAAUAGAUGCUAGGAGAUUCAACAUUCACAUCCUUUACAAGAAAGGGCUUUCCAACAAUGCUACCAGGAGCAUUUGCAGCAGAAUAGAUGGCAGGAGAUUCAACAUUUGCAUCCUUUACAAGAAAAGGCUUUCCAUUAAAGCUACCAGGAACACUUGUAGCACCCAGAGUAUAUUUUUUAUUUUGAUAACCACUACCAUCAACAUAACUUGAACCGGAAAUUGAAGACACAUUAGAGUCUUUUGAGAAUGAAAAUGUUUCACCAGGCAAUAUAUGAGAAGCUCUUUGUGAGUCUUGUAAGCUACUUGUAGUCUGGAGCUCCACAGCCCUCUCAGUAUUAUUUUGAGAAUAUUUAAAACUUGACAAACCAGGAGCAGCAGAAUGACUGUUUCCUGUAAAAGAACCAAUACUUGUUCCAAGUGCUGCAGUCUUUUGACCUAAGUUUUUCUGUUGUUCACCUGGAGGACAUUGAAUUUGACUAUCCUUAACUUUCUUCACAUCUACACCUGGAACCAUUUGCAGCACGUCAGACUUCAAAGACUGUACAUUUGUCGUUGAUCCCACUUCAGGGAACUUAGUAUAAUCUUCAGCAAAAGGCUUGGACUUUAGAUUCUCACGCUCAACAUCCUGCACAUAAUUUUUUUAAGAAUUUUCAUUAGCUGAAAGCACAAACUAUCGGUGUUCAGUGGACUAACUCUNNNNNNNNNNNNNNNNNNNNNNNNNNNNNNNNNNNNNNNNNNNNNNNNNNNNNNNNNNNNNNNNNNNNNNNNNNNNNNNNNNNNNNNNNNNNNNNNNNNNNNNNNNNNNNNNNNNNNNNNNNNNNNNNNNNNNNNNNNNNNNNNNNNNNNNNNNNNNNNNNNNNNNNNNNNNNNNNNNNNNNNNNNNNNNNNNNNNNNNNNNNNNNNNNNNNNNNNNNNNNNNNNNNNNNNNNNNNNNNNNNNNNNNNNNNNNNNNNNNNNNNNNNNNNNNNNNNNNNNNNNNNNNNNNNNNNNNNNNNNNNNNNNNNNNNNNNNNNNNNNNNNNNNNNNNNNNNNNNNNNNNNNNNNNNNNNNNNNNNNNNNNNNNNNNNNNNNNNNNNNNNNNNNNNNNNNNNNNNNNNNNNNNNNNNNNNNNNNNNNNNNNNNNNNNNNNNNNNNNNNNNNNNNNNNNNNNNNNNNNNNNNNNNNNNNNNNNNNNNNNNNNNNNNNNNNNNNNNNNNNNNNNNNNNNNNNNNNNNNNNNNNNNNNNNNNNNNNNNNNNNNNNNNNNNNNNNNNNNNNNNNNNNNNNNNNNNNNNNNNNNNNNNNNNNNNNNNNNNNNNNNNNNNNNNNNNNNNNNNNNNNNNNNNNNNNNNNNNNNNNNNNNNNNNNNNNNNNNNNNNNNNNNNNNNNNNNNNNNNNNNNNNNNNNNNNNNNNUUCCCUUUUAAUAUCCAAAAAUUAAAGACCCCAAAAAAAUACCUGAUCCAAUUCCUGUUCCUUUUUCUCAAAUUGAUGAGAAGAAGUGGAGCUUUCAUCCACAGGUAGCUUAACAGAAGCAUCUUCCUUAUUAUACUCAACAGAAUCAACUUCAGGUGAAACUUUACUUCCUGCAAGACUAAAGACAAAAACUACUCAACCUUUGAGAUUUGAAACUUUUGACGAACACAGAGAAUAUUAAAUCUCGGUGGCUUUUAGAGUGGGCUAUGUUGUCCCUUCUCCGCCAGUACACCAUAGACAAAAAUGAAAUUCCAUGUCUUCAGCUUUUCCCCAAUCCCAUAUUUCCCUUUCUCUUAACUCUCAUCUGUCCAUCACAAUGCCAUUAAUUAACUGUAUUUACUUACAUGGGGCCAAAACUUGCUCCGAUCCUCCUAUGAAACCCACUGCUGUAGCAUUCAACUGGAUCAACGCCUCUUAUGUGAGACCACAUUGUGCUUAAUCAGGACCCUUAAUCAGCAGGGUUGCAGCGUAGCGGUUGUAAAAAGGGGUGUGGGUCUAGAAGUUCAUCUUUCCCCUCUUUUAUUCUAUGGUUUAAUAGAAAUCUCAUAUCAUCAUCAUCAUCAUCACCACCUUGGUUUACAAGACCAUAAUCUCCUCAUUGAUUUUAUUGCUUUCAUGCCAAGUUCUUCCUUCUCUAACUCUAUUUUCUCAAAAGAAACAUGUGUUCCCUUUUGCUACUUAGUACUUGUAGCAGUUCCAAGUUGAAAGAUGUAAAGUUUCAAUUUUUAUUAGUACCGUUUUUUGUCUAAACUAUUUUUAGCAUUUUUAUCACUCAUCAAGUUCAAGUUUUAAAGAUCUUGUUGCCUAAUGUUUGAUCCAAGAUCAAUUUUUUUUUCCUUUGAUUUCUAAAGGGUAUCUUAGAGUUUUGAGUAUAUUGGGUUUUUACACGUUCCAUCAUUGUUUACACACUAACAAUGAUAAAUGAUGUUUAGGAAAAAAAUGGGAUCUGAGAUUUUCAUAUAGCAAUGUUAGCAAGUGAUUAUGUGGGGCGGCAUAGGGCCAUUGGCAUGACCUGGAGAUGGUGGUGGGCUAGAAGGAAGGGGGUCACGGAGGGCAGGGGAGGAGGUCAAGAAGAAAGAAGAAAAAUUAACAAUUUAACCCUAGUUAAUUGGGACCCUUGAUGAAUUAAAAAUUCAAAAAAUGUUGAUCUAAUGAUUUAAAAAAAGUAGUGCAUCGAUACAUCAUGUUAUAGAUGGUGCAUCUUAAACAUUGCCUUAAAUCUCAUACCACUCUUAUUGCCAAAAUGCAUCUUACGUUUUUAUUUUUAUCCAACACAAACCCAUCAUAAAUAAAUAUGGGAGUACAAUAGCAGAGAACUUCAUAAACUUACCUGGCAACAUGGAACAGAACAAGUUUUCCAUCCACUGUGAGACACAUAAGAACACAAUAAGGCAAGAGCUCAGUUUUUUCCUCCACUGCACCAAAUUGAACUCCAACUUUUUGAUAUAUUGAAACUUUAUCAAUGCAUAGCCCCAAGAGAAAAUUAUCAUCUUCAUUUUCUGAAAAAGAAGCAAGUAAGAAAGAGUUAAGAAGUAUUAGGUUCUAUAAACAUGCACGUUGGCACACCAUAGAUUGAAAGGAGGAGAGAGGAAGAGAAAAAAAAGUUGCAACUUCAGCUCCAAGUAGCAUUUGAAGAAUCUAAAACAAAGACCACUAAUAAAUGCUGUUAUCUACUAUCUUAAGACCCACCAGAGCCAUUUUUUUCUUUGAAAGUGCAAACAUCAGUUGUGCCUCCCUAAAACAACGGCAUAAAAACUCAAAGGAGGGUCUCUUUGGCUCAGCACUGGACACGAAAGGUAACAUUACUCAAUUUCCGGUUUUGGUGUAAAGCACGUGAAUUUGAUUCCUCUAAAGUGAGUGGUUGGUAAAGUGAGUAAAUCAAUAGUUGAUAUUUGAACCACCCAUAAUUUAUUAUAUAUGUUACACCAUUUUAUCAGCCAUUAAUUUAUUCAUUAAUGGUUGCUAUUUACUCAUUUUAUUAUUCUCUACAGUGAGUUGUUUGACUAUAUAGGAGUCGGAUCCAAAGAACAUAAUCUUUUAAAUUGGGCUUCCUAGACAAAAGAGGAGAAGAUUUUGUCAGUUUUGUUCCACUAAGUAAAUUUUUCAUUUUAUAAAUAAACUCAUACGAAAAUCAACUUCAAAAAUGUAAUGGGAGGCUCUUCCUGAAGAACAGAAAAGGUUUCUUGCCAAACAUGCAACAAGUAUUAUUAAUGAUUUUGAAGUACCUUGAAGCCCAAUUCUUGGAACCCACUUGUCUCUGUCAAUAUCAACAAUUGCAGCUUCACUCUUAUCAUCAUCUUCUGACCAGCCAAGCAACAAAAUGUGCUUAUCUGUGUUCUUCGUGUUGGCAUUGAUCACAAGUUGGCUGUAGUUAUUAAAAAGUUUAACAUUAAUUUGUGUUCCAAGUUUUGUUUCUUACAGAAAUAAAUUUAACAAAAUUAUUGGAAGAUAAAGAAAGAUGCUUGCUGAUAACUGCUAGACAAGUUUUAAACAUGCAGAUAAUCAAAAAAGUUAAAACCAAUUUUUAACUAUAUAUAAACAUGCUUAAAGCCUUAAACAAUGAUCGGGUGACAAACCGACAAGAUCCAUAAUUUUAAUCUGGCAACGAACAAUAAGAAAGAGAAAAAAAAAACAGCAAAAUAACUAAUGUGUCAUAAUUAUCCAUGAAUCAUUGAUUCUGGAUUUAUAAAGAGAUUAAAUCUUGGCUUUAGACUUUUUGGCCUAAACCAGGUUCUGUUCAUAUAGUGGGAGAGAUCCAUAAUUUAAGGACCUCGGGAUAACAUAUAUCAAAUUUUAUACAUACUUAAAAAUAAAAGUAUAAUAGCCAACUUUACAGCAUAAAAACCUUAAAACAGGGAAGAUGUACUGACAAAAAAUUGGCCAAAAAACAGGGAAUAAGAAGAAAAGAUUAAAACAUCAGAACAUGAAAUGCAAAAUAUUUACCAUUGUUCUAAAUAUGCCAAUAAAAGGUAGGGGCCACUUCCAGGGGAUACAACAUCAUCAACCAGUCCUGGGUAAAUAUCAUAGAAUGAUCGGAUAACUAAUUCAGAACAACCCUGCAAGAAAAAAUAUAAAUUUAGAGUUUAAUGCUACAUGAGAAUAAACAACUGCAAAUUUUUUGGCUACCCAGCAUUUUAUCUAAUGCAUUCUAUAAACAAAAUUGUUAGAAAUUAUGUAUAUAAGUAGUUUUUUUGUAAAUAGGUCAUUAUUACUAGUACCAUGUAAAUAUAGUAAAUGGGGUAGCAUCAAUAUUUGUAUUGAUUUUAUGAUUCAGUAUAUCUGUGUAUAUAUAAGAUAGCUGUGUUGUUAAGACAUAUAGAUUCUCUCAUUUCCUUUGUUGUUUUCACUUUCUCAACAUAGUAUCUAGAGUCUAAUGAGAGGCAACCCUAAUUUGUACCUACCUGGUGGGUCUCUUCUUUCCAGCGUGUCUCACCACUUCAGGUUGCCGCUAUCAAACACUGCCAGAAUUUUUUUUACUAUUCGUCCUCUUCCCUAGUUGUCAGUUGGUUCUACAAUAUGUUCCAGGUUCCCCUUUUACUUUUCUAAUAGUCACUCAACUCUCUUGGCUUCUAUUUUCUAGAACCAGAAUUCAGCUCUGAUGAUUGGCGACUUGGCUUCGAAUACAAGUCUAAUGGCCUCUACAAUCUCCAUAACCACUCUAAUAUAUGCACUGCCAUAUAUUCCCCUCUUCUUCUAGUACAUGUUCAACUGGACCACCCUAACCUUGCAAAGUUAUAAAAACUGGUGGAGAAAUUGUCCAAAUUAUCCGAUACACCUUCUGUGUCUUGUCAACUUGGGAAACAUAUCCAUAGUUCAUUUCGCAACCAACUUGUUAAAUUGUCCAAAUUCUCCAUUCAUUCUUUUAUAAUCAUCCAUUAAUGUCAUCAAAUAAUGUGAACAAAAUAAAUAAAAGUCAUGCGAGGCCAGUUUGAAAUCACACUGGAAACAAUUUUUUUAACAAAAUCACUGUAAAUGUUACGUUAUACUAGUGGUCAUAAAACAAUAAAGGCAAUAUAUUAUUAAAAAGUGAAAGAAAAUACAUAUUAUAAUUAAGUUUUAAAACUGAUAUACAAUUUUAAUUAAUUAAUAUACAUAAUAUUAUAUUAUAAUUAUAUAUGAAUUACUUAAUAUAUUAUAUUUUUCAAAAGAUAUUAUUUAAUCCUCGUUGAUUCAAACCGGUACCUAAACCAGUUCAAUGUCCGGUCUGAUUUUAAUUACCUUGGUCAAAACCCAAUCUUGCACACAAAGACAAAGCACAUGGAAGUUGAUAUUUACUUCAUCAGGGAAAAAGUUCUAGCAAAGUAGCUUACCAUGUCCAGCACUGGACAGUGGCAUUCUCACUAAGCCCUUAUCUAAUUUACGUUUCUCUAUACUGAGGGACAAACUCAGGGUGUUGACUAUGCCUCAACAACCCUAGGGCAUUCCAUGACAUUCUGUGGUGUUCCUUUACAUUCUGUUACAAAGUUGGUUAGACCCAACACUCUCUCUCUCUCUCUCUCUCUCUCUCUCUCUCUCUCUCUCUCUCUCUCUCUCUCUCUCUCUCUCUCUCUCUCUCUCUCUCUCUCUCUCUCUCUCUCUCUCUCUCGUUAAAUGGUGAGGUGCAGAUAUGGGUAGGGUAUUUGUUAUUAACAAAGCACUUGCAGAGAUUUAGGACUUACAUCAGAAAUUUCACCAAGCUUGCUGGUAAUAACUUGGAUAAGAUAAUUUUCCUCCUUGCCAUCUUCAGUAAGUUGAAAGCAUCCAAUUAUAAUGGAGUCGGGUCGAACACACUUGACAGAAUCAACUGGAACAAUUGUUCAAGAAAGACUUAGAUUAGAUGUAAUGCACGGCAUUUAAACAAUUCUAAGUGUUUAUCUAUGCUUCUAUUUCAUUGUGCUUGCAAGUAGCAACACUAAAUUUUGUUUUCUAGGUUUAAAAGGAACCAGACAAGAGAGUAGUUACUUAUUUCGUUAAAUCUGCUUUCGUUUUGAUCAUUGGCCCAAAAGAGCAUUUAACAAAUCUAUGAAUAAUUGAAUAUGAAGAACUUACAAGUUGAAGUACAAUGUAACUUGCUUGUGUACACACACACACACAAACCAAAUAAAAAAAUGAAAAGAAAAAAAUGCAAACCUUUUACACUGACAUUUGCCUCGGAAUCACCAAUCCAGGAUCUGAAGGGUAGUGGAAUCAAAACUUUUUCUUCAAACUUAGUGGAUAAAAUGCUCAAGACAUUUUUUCUUGCCACAGCAACUGAUGUCCCUUUUACGCACCAAUCAACUUCACAAAGAAACAGAUUAAAACAAGAAACUAUGAAUGCCAAAAUCAAGUACAUUGAACCAACCAUAUGACUGGAAUAUCCCAAUAACUGCAAACACCCAAUGCGCUAUGCUAUUCAGAUACGAGGUGACUGAGAAUUGAGGGGAGGGAGAAAGAGAGAAGCAUAUUGACAGUGUAUAAGCAAUAUCAUAACUCAUAACAUCUCCCAAUCGUGAUGACAAAAAAAAUUAAAAUAAUGACACACACACACACCAUGUACUGAAUCGUAAUUCAAAUUUUAACAUCUAUCAAUUGGUACCCUUUGAUCGUUCAAAUUAAUAAUCAAAUACCCUACAUAUUGAUAAUGAUGUAUGAUAAUUUUGAACUGGUGACUAUAUAACAGAAGAAUAAAGCAUACCAGCUUCAACACUGUCCAUCACAUGUUUAAGAGGAAAACCAGCCCUGCCGUGAUAUAAUUGCCCAGUAUUUGAAAGAACAACAUAAGCAUUUUCCAAUGUUGUUGUCCACCGCAUGUCCUUGACAAAGGUCGGGUCAUUGAGUGAACAGGAAAAGGAUUGCUUCACUUCCUGGAAAAUGAUAAUACAACAAAAAUAUUGGUCAAAUCAUUGAGUGAACAGGAAAAAUAUUUGCUUUAGUUCCUAAACAAAUGUAAUACAGUAUAAACAGGUUUUGUUUAAGUUUGGAGUUUUAGAUAAAAGGAGGAGAGAAAAUACUUAGAACAUUGAAUAUUAUUGAUAAUAACUUGAUAGUUGAACGUGACUUCAUACUAGAGACUAUACAUUUAUCCUUAUUUAUAGGGAUACAUAGACUAAAUCUGAAAUAAAUAGGGAAAUCAAGGGAGACAAAGAACAAUAAGUUAGAAAUAUGGAAAUUAUCCUAGGAGAUAAUCUAAGAUAGGUAAGAUUGAAAAUUGAUCCUAGGGAGAUAAACCCAGAUAUUAUGACGUACUGUUUUAUUUUCUAACAUACCCCCUCAAGCUAAAUUCUAAGCUUGAACUUGUCAUGAGAAAAUGAUGUAUUACUCUUCAAAUAAAUAAAAUAAAAAUUAUUGAAAGACAACUCAGAGAUGCAAGUGAAAUCAAAAAGAAUUGCUAUAAAGAUAGCCUAGCCAGAUAGUUGGAAUGGUCGUCAAUCUGUGAGAAAUUCAUGACAAUCAAUCGAACAAAUCAAGCAACAAAUGUCCUUCUCAAAACCGCAUUUGGAAGCUUAAAACCAAUAAUAUAGAGACCCAAAAUAUUUAACUUGAAACUAAGUCUGACAACUGCUUCUACAGUUCUGUGACAAUGGCAGGCCAAUGCAUCUUGGACAAAGAUGGGCCAGUGCGUCUGGGAUGAAAGCUAAGGCCGAUCUACGGCGAAAGCUAAGGCCAGAGCAUCUACGACGAAAACGGAUCAGAAAACAACAGCCAAGACACGUUACUCAAAAAAUGCAUAGAAGACAAAGUUGCAGCAACAAAAGCACCUCUGCCUUGUUAAUUAAUUGAUGACACAGACGUAUUUCAUGAAACAUGGCAUUUUGCUCCAUCCUCAACUAUCAGAACUAUUAGGUUUCUUUGAUCUGCAAGAGCAGAAAGGGAGUUUAUUUGUCGCCUCGUUUAUUGUUUAACCAAAAGAAAAUUGUUGCACCCCUCUACUGAAAAAAUCAAGUCAACUUUAGAAAACAACAAAACAGAAUGAAUCCUUAAACUGAUUCCUUUCCCUAAUUUAUAGGAGGGUAGAAUCAGUUACAUACAAAUAACAGGUCUGACCUCUCAUAACUAACUAACAGACUAACAGACCUACCUCAGUAAGGAACCGCAUUUAAAGAAAUAACUAGCACAUGACUUAGUUGAGAUUGGGAUUUCUCCCCUUUCUCCUAUAGUAAACUUUCAGCUUUGUCUCCUGCUACUGAUGCCUAACAAUAACCAUUUUAAGUGCAAUGAUUAAAAACUGGCCGCCUUCACAAGCAAAAAGAGGAAUAAACCUAAACCCAAAUUGAAGUCGAACCAAACAAAACGUAGCAUAUUUGAACUUCAACUUGAAUUUGUAUCAACUAAAAACAUAUUCAAAUCAUAUAAAUAUUAUAAAUUAAUUUAGAACAAAACAUUUCAAGCAUGCAAAGUUCUUUUUCAACAGAGAUAUCAUGCAUACAAGAAAUGCCGAAAUAUAUAGUGCCGCUUUGCUGCAUUUCAUAAUUUUUGUUCCUCCCAUGGAUACACUACACUAACCGAUAAAAGGACACAUUCAAAUUAAUCAAUAUUUACCACAACCUAUAUAGCACCAACAUCUUGAAUUGAAGGUGUGUCAGUGUUUGACUCUCGACACAUUUGGUUAUACUCAAUCACUUCAUUUUAAAAUUAUUAUCGGUGUUUAUGUGUCAGUCUGGUAUUUGGUGUCCAAGUAUGUGGCGGUCCUUCAUAACAAUAAAAGAGGAAAACAUGAAGAAAACCCAAAAAAUGAAUAUGUCUACUUGUACGAAUUAUUAAUGUCUGCAAAAACUAAAAUUCAUAGUUCACCAAACCUUAUUGAGAAAGCUAUCAACAUUGUAAAAUCGUAUGUCACCACCAACAGUAGCAGCAAGCGUUGAAUUAUCAGUAGAAAGAGCUAAUAUGCGAACCCUACCAAUAGAAACAUCAACAAGACUCAACUGUUCCACCGAAGAACCACUUCCUUUAGAAGAAUCAAUAAGGUCCUUCGUCUUCACAGCAUAAAAACCUAAAAAAAAACAAACAUAAAAUUGCUUAAACGUAAUAAUUUAACUGAAAAUGAAAAGCGCGUUAACUGUUCAGUUUAGUUUAUACCUGAAGAAUGAGCAAUGAAAGUGAGACGAAAGCGUUCAGAGAGUGAGAGAGGUUGAGAAGGAAGGGUUUGGAGAUUGAAAUUGGAGUCAUUGGAUUUCAAAGGAAUAGGUUCUCCUAUUUUGACGAAGAAGUGAUCGUCGGUGAUUUCGACUACAUCUCCUUCGAGUUCUUCGAUGUUGACGGCACUCAUGGCUGCUAACACCGUCUUUCUGCGAGUUCCGGUGACAGACACUGCAAGCACGCUUAAAUUUCACGGCGCGUUAAAAUGCCUCUGCUGAAAAUCAAAUUUGCUUGGGUUCUUUUUUGGAUAAUUGGACCGGCCGGUUAAACCAAAUGAACCGGCUUAGUUUGUUGAUUGGUUUUAUUUUCUUAAUAACAGGUUGAGUAAGGUAAAUCGUUAUUUUGAUAAGUUGUCACGUCUGUUUUCUACUCAAACAAAAAUUUAAUUAAAUCUUUCACUAUUUAAAAUAUUAGUUAUUUUAGAUAUAAAGUGGGGGCAUUGACCUAAUUAAAAUUAUGACAUAUACGUUGAUUUCUGAUAAAUAUAAUAACACAUGGAAGGACCACGUAUUGAAGUACUAAAAUAAAAACUAAAUGAAAUAUUUGUUUCUUAAUUUUUUUUUUAUGUUCUCAUUAUUCCUGGAUUUUCAACAACUUUGAACUUUCAUGGUGUCACUUUCCAUAUUUUUUUCCUCCAAGUCUCAAAUCCAUUAUUGUUUCUUCUCUGAUCAGCCAUUUUUAUAUGCUCAACAAGUUUGGUUUUCUUAAUUCUCAAGCAUCACUCACUUCAAGUGAACAUAUUUUUAUAUAGGGGUGUACAAAUGACCGGAUAGUUCGGAUUUAGCGAGCCCCUUAUUCAAUCUCAACAUUAGAUCAUACAAAUUUUUUGACCAUAACAUGUCUCUUAAACCUACCAAACCAGAUGAAUUGCGAGUUUAAUAAGGACGAGAAGGAAUAAAGAUGAGAUAUGUUAUGGUCUAAAAUUGACCUGAUUCUUAUGACAGUUUCGUAGGACGGACCAAAUCGUGUACACCCUAAUUCUUAUGAACCAAUCAAAAACAACAACUUCAAGCCAAUCAAGUUUAAUCCUCUUUGAUUUGACACGACAUAAAGUUUAACAUCAUUCAACAUUGAAAUCGUCGUAACAUUUCAAACCAAAUAAAAUAAAAUAAAAUAAAGAAUUCUACAAACAAAUCCUUCAAAUUUCUUAAACAUCCAAUACUAAAACAACAAAAUGUGAAAUUAAAAUAAAAACAAUGAAAAUUCUACUUCAAAGAGUGAUAAGAAAAAUAAAAUGAGUGGUGGGGAUGAAAUUGAAGAUUUAAGUUUUUAGGACUUGACUAAGAGUAACGACGAUGGUAAGAUAGAACAUAGUAGUGUCAAAAAUUGUGGAAAGAUAAGGAAUAGUUACUCGAAGAACAAGAAAUAUUAACAAAACAUUAUAGAAAAGAAGGAGAUGAAGAAAAAUGCGAAUUUGGGGGCGGCGCCAGACUUUAGAGGAAAAAGAAAAGACGUAUUAGGGAAUAAAAAAAUGGUAUUGUCUGACUUUUGGUUUAUCUUUCAUUUUGGUCACUCAACAUAUCACUCUUCUAUGUGUCAUUAUGUUUCUCGCAUACCAUCUACCAUGUCAACGUUGAGUUAACAUGAAUGCCAAUGUCCUAUGUAACGACUUCCAAAAAAACACAAUGUUCACCCAUCCACCAAUUUCAAUAAAGGAUAUUAUAUACUUCAACAUUUUUACUCACAACAAAUACAAAGUUACAACUUUGAAUAUCUUAAUCUCACUAACAUUGUCUUUAUGUAAAAAUGAACAUCUACUUUACACUGAAAAAUAUAUGUUCAAAAGAAUUACUCCAAACCACAUCCUAAUAAAACAAGAGAACUCUUAUUUUACUACUUCAUAUUCAAAUUAUUGUCAUGAUCUUUUUGUCAUUUUUGUCAUGAAAUUAUGAAGUUGGAUCAUCUUCACAUGCAUCCCUCUCCAACAACUAAAAUUAUAGCAAAAUAAAGAAGAGAGAAAAUGUUGGCGUGAUUAGGAGAGGAUAAAUAAUUAAGGAGAAAAUAAAUAGAAGUGUCGAGAAUCUUUGUGAGUGAGGAUCCAAAUCUAAAACCGACAUUGCUCUAGUUAAAAUAAGUUGUCUAAAUCUUCCAUAUUUGUAGAAUGGUGCUCUAACCAUAGAUAAAGGUGUUAAAAUAGCCUGAAUCCAAUCGGUCGGCCUUCUCAGCCCAUAUUCCAUUUUUGUUCAGAAGGUAAAAAAACAGUCUUAAAAAACAAGUUUUUUUUAUCAAAUCCAUUUGACACAAUUUUAAAAUUGAAACGGAUCGGGUUGGCUCAUUUUUAGAAAAAAAAAAGUAAAACAAUUGUUUUUAUUUUUCAAAAACAAAUUAGAUUUUUUCAUUUCCUUGAUCUCCUCGUUGUCAAAACAAAAUAUUCACUUUACUUUCUCAUCACAACCUAAUUCACUUACUGAACACAAAAUCUAAAAAAAAAAUGCCUAAAAUCACUAAAUCAUAAAAAAAAAACUGCUAUAAACUAAAAACUUAUAACUACGUUAAAUCUGACUUUGGAUCCUCUCAAUUUAAAUUUUUUCAAUCUUUUAUAUUUAUUUUUAUUUUAUUGUUUAUUUUUUUAUUUGUUUUCGUUUUAUUGAAAAUUUAUAUUAUAUAAAUAAAAUUUUAUACAAAUAUAAAAUUAUUGUUUUAAAAAAAAUAAAUAAAAAAAAAAGGAUCAUGUUGAUUCAUUGACUCCAACAAUCUAUACUGAUCGAGGAGUUUACGCGAUGCUUCUAAUGCCAACAAAGAAUUGACAAAAAAUUUGAACCUGACGUGAAUCGAACACGCAACCUUCUGAUCUGGAGUCAGACGCGCUACCAUUGCGCCACAGAUCCAAUUUAUGUUUUAUCUACUUAUUUUACAUUAAUAAUACAAGUGUUUCUCAAUCACCAGAAGUAAAAUUGGGCUACAUUUAAGUAUUUAAUGGCUAAUAAAGUAGUGUAGUGUGGUGUUGAUGUAGAUUGAAUGAAUCAAAAUGGGAGCUCUUUGACGGAAUAUCAUGAAACUGGGUUAACAAUCUCUGCACUGCAGUGAGUGUCAUCUACAUGCAUGGAAACUUUUUGGGCUAUGUAAUUUUUUAUUUUUCUUCUUUUUUUUUUUUUAUUUCACUUUUCUAUUUGAAGUGAUAGUUUCUAUUGUCUGAAGGGAUACAUAAUACUAUUAAAAAGAACUAUAUCGAAAAUGUUUUAAUGCUGUUCAAUUUUUCAAAUUAUAUGAGCGACUUUUGUAUUUAUUUGUAGUAAGGAUUGGUUGCUUUGUGGGUUUCCGCCUUGGUAGCUUCUCUUUUUUUGAAAAAACAAAAAACAAAAAACCAUUCGUAUGUUGGUUUUUAAUUUAUUUAAGUUGAAUGUUUUUAAACAUAUUUCAUCUUGGUUCAUAUAUAUAGUUGGUUCUUCUUAGUUCUGCUGUCAUUGUCAUUUUUCAUUGUUAUGUUCGAUUAAUCGUCAAUCAAAUUGUUGAUGAAUGUUGGUCUGUUGGUAAAAAUUCAAUUUAUAUCUCACAAGGAUAUAACUUCGAAGUCUGCUAUCAAUGCCAGGUUAAUGGACAUUAUAUAGGUACCUAUAAUAUAUCAGUACUUUUUUAAGUAUUAAAUUUUUUCUUGAUUAGAGUCGGCGUUAGCGAUCUAAAAAAUAAUUAAUAUUUUAUGUAUAUUUAAAUUUAAAAAAUAUAAUUAAAUAGUACAGCAAAUAAAAUGCCUCACAAUUAUAAAAAAAAAAGCAUUAACAUAUUUAAUUAAAAUACUUUAAAUUUAAAAAAAAAUAUAAUUUAAAUAAAAUUAUAGUAAAAACAUUGUUGUUAAUAUUAAAAGAGUCUCUAAUUUUUUUUAAUAGGAUUUUGCUUUAAAGUUUAUUUUAGGCGUUAACUUUGUUUACCAACAAUAAAGUUUUCGAUAUUGUUAGGUGUAUGCCUCAAUUUCAUUUAUAUAAAGAUUUUGAAUUGUUAGGUGUACACUCAUCUAGGGGUGGGAAUGAGGUGGUUAACCAAACAACAACAAAAGAACCAUUUCAAAAUUUAGUGUUUAUGACCCAAAUCUUAUUGCCUUUUUAGAAACCAAUUUAUGAUUUAGUGAACCUGUUUGAAUUCAGCUGGGUUUUAUAAGCAGUUUUUAAAUAGAUUUUUAAGAAACCAGUUUUUAUGGGUUAUUAGGAAACCAGGUUUUCAUUUGAAAAUAUUUUGAAACCCGUUUUUGGUUUAAACUAGUUUUUCAUAUCGUGUUUUUUCUCUCUCAAAUAAACUGUUUUUAAACCUAUUUAUACUUGAAACAGGUAAAAAAAAGUAUAAUUUGGAUUCUAUAGACACUUGGGUCUUCAAUAAUCAAGGAUCGACAUAUCCAAGCAAGGAUGCCACAUAUCAUGAAAAAGACCUGAAUGUACAACCUUAUGCACAAUUUGCCAGCUCAUACAUCAAUCAAUUGAACAAUCUUCAAGAAAGGGCAGGCUAAUUGAUCAUUUCGCACUUGUUCAAAAAAUUUAACUAUUUUACAAUGAAAGAACCAUCUACAUCUUUGUCAAAAAACUAAAAUACGAAGCCUAAGAACUGAAUUUCCAAACACGAUAAAAAGCUGGUUGACAAAAAUGUACUACAACUAUAAUUAAUAUAAAUAUAGAAAAUGAAUUAGUUAAAGUGUGGAUAGCAGCUAAUAAAGAAAACAUACUUUGGCAACAAAUCCACUGAUUGGUAGAUUCCAUGCAUAGUGUCACGUGAAAAGUUUAAACAAAAAUUGAUAUUUAUAAUAACAAAUUGUCAAUUUAAAUAUGUUUACUCAACUACCAUUGAGCAAUUGUCGCAAAAGUGUACACCAUCUCAAGUUUAAUCAAAGAAAGCACUGAUUUCAGGAUAAGGAACACUACAUAAUUAUUUUUGAAAAAUUAAAUUAAAUUAAAUGGAGAACUCAAUUAAUAUUAUUUUAGUUAUAUUUAUUUUAUUAUAACAAAGUAGUGUAAGAACAAACAGAACAAUAGCCAUUCAAUCAUACAAAUACAACUUGAAUAUGCUACCCUGAAGUCUGAACACUACAAGGCUCAUUCAUUUAUAGAAGGAGCACCUUUCAAGAUUUACCCUCUUUAUGAUACACUACCACCGACACAUAUUCAUCAUCAUUCCUUAUCCCACACUAUGUGGCAGUGAUCUUCACUCAUCAGAAUUUAUCUAGAAGACUCGAUCAAAACCCAGAACAAAUCAGACCAACAAAACCUCUCAGUAUGAAAUUUAGGAAGCCCAAUUGAUCACAUCUCAGUAAAGCAUCAUGUCUGCAGAAAAAGACAUGAUUGGCUGGCUCAAAUAUGGCAUGUUCAAAGGGUUGAAGUAGUUAUCAACAGGCUUAAAACCCAUUGGUGGCAUUCUAGAAAUGGAUAAUCUCAUUCCAAGACUCAAGCAGUAAUAAUAAAGAAAAUUAAUCAAUGCAGGGGGUAAUAUAUGAAAAAUAUUCCUCCCCCCUUAAUUAGGCAAACCAAAUAAUGAUCAACAAAUACAAGCCAUCAGGUUGAAGAAAUUUCUUUAAUUCAUUGGUCUUUGAUACAUAUACUGAUGAGAUCAUUAAACAAAUAUAUCUGUAAACAAAACCUCUCAUAAUCAAAACAUAUGCUGAGAUGGAUAAAUUUAACUCUUUUAGGACAGACUCUUAUCAACAGGACAUCUCUCACUAUUCACUAACACUGACCCUUAGUACCUUAUUUUUCUAUUGCCACAACAUGCUAGCAAAUAAGUCAACAAGAUACAUGCCAAAAAGUUAAUCAACAAGGAGCAACAACAAUUGUUGAUUUAAUUAGAGCUCUGGAUACCCUGCAGUAUUGAGGUACCAUAAAAGUGACAACAUAUUUGGCAAAACACCAAAACCAGCCCCAAAAAAGAGUGAAAGAAAAUAGCAACUUACCAGACCAUGAAAAACAAGAUCAUGCAAAACUGGAAUCAUUAUGAGAACUGAAAGGAAAUAAAUACUAAAUGUUCUUAAGUUCAACAGUCUUGGUCACUAGGAAGACCUUUCCACCAUUGCUUCAUUUAAAGGCAAUAAAUAAUAAGUGUAGAAUAUACAUAUAAACUCUAGUUUUUAUGCCAAAAGAAAGCAUGUUGAAUGGAAAUUGCUAUCUGAAAAUAAUGCAGGUUCAAGUCUAUUGCUGUAAAAGAAGACAUAUGCUAAUUAAUAAACAUGAUAGUGAACGAGAUCUCAAACUAAUACUUCAAGAUAAAUGCUGCCCGGAAGAAUUUCAGCUUCUUUCAACUUUUUCAGUUGACAACAUUUGAACAAUGACAACUAUUUCGUAGCAAUAAACAGAUCGAGCAAAUAACAUGGAACAAUAAAACUAUUUAGUAGCAAUAUACAGAUCAAGCAAAUGAUAUGAACUAGAGAUUAGAGAGUGUUAUUUAUCUAACCAAGGGAGUUGAGCUCCUUACAGUGGAGGAUAAUCCCUAGAGUCAAGAAUAAAACACAAGAUAGAUAGCAAAAAGAGAAUGCACAACAAGGGUCUGCAAUGGGGCAAUCCUUACAACACCAAAGGCCACCCACAACCUACUCCAAUUUUCCAACAUCCACCUAACUACCUACUUACUCCCACCUCCAUACUAUCUGCCUGUUCUGCUGUACUCUACCCUCUCUCCUCUAAUUGAUUCCUUCCCUUACUCUCUUCAGAUUUCAGUCUUCACUAACUAUAGUUUCUGCAUUGGUUCCAGUACAAUCCUUUUACCUCCUCUCAUAAUUUCUGCACACCUGUAACAAGGUUAACCCUACCCUUCUUCAGAACCUCAGUUAGGUAUUUGUUAGUGAUAAUUAGUUAGGUUAGUUGGGCUGAGAUGAUUAGACGAAAUAAGGAAAUGCCAUUCCACAUUGAAAGUUCUAAUCAAAUUUAACUGGAAAAUGUUUCUCAACAAAGAAAUAUCUACCUGCCCAAUGAUGGUGAAAAGCCUCGAAAAGGUGAUAUUAAAGACGAGCCUGCCUGAAUUUCUGUAAUCUCACGGUCCUGGAUGGUAGCAUGUAAAAAGAAACAGUUAAAAGAUUGCAGGUUGUAAUCUUCACCCCUUUUUCAUCUUAAUCCCACCUCAAACUGAAAACAAAUCCUAUAUAUGAUGUGGUGUGCAGGAUGUCUAACAAAGGUAACUGAUAAAAUCAGCACAAUCAAAAGAGGAUAUCACAUACCACAUUAUAAAUAGGUUUCUGAUUGUGCCAAAACUCCAAAGGAGGUAGAAGUAAUCUUCCUGCAAAAUAACCCAAACAUACGAAUAUAGUGCAAAGUAAAUGGCUUUUCAAAUUAUUAUUAUAAAAAAUGAUGACAAUAGCAUUGGGUGAGAAGUGUUGGAUAACAUGAAUGAGAGUGCAUGAAAAACAAAUAGUGUAUAUAUUAUCAGCCACCAAAUAAGAUGUGCUACUUCAUGAAUUAACAAUGAUUGAAAAAUUUACCAGAUCUAGAUUUUUUUAGACUCAAUGACUCUGGAGUAACUGAGGACAAUCUCUGUUUACUUCCCUUGUUCAAGUGACUUGCAUCCUUUUCUUGUGGAGAUUUCAUAGAAGAUGCAGGUCUCAUCAUUUUUCUCUUAGGUCUGACUGCUUCUGUUUCAACUGUCACCCUUUUUUUCUUAUAACAUCCUUCAGUUUUUGCUGACAAAGUUUUAGAAAUUCUGGAUGCGAAUUUAUUAUUGACCUGCUCAGACAGUAUGUUUACUGCCCCCUUUGAUUGUGACUGAAGGGGUGUCGAUGGACUUUCCAGCCCUCCAUCACUCUUCUCCAUGGCUGCUGAGACAGAGAUUUGGUCUUUAUCUGAAUGCUUUGGAGGACCUCCAGUAGUAGGCUGCUUUUUCGGGCAGACUUUAACAUUACGCAACCGGGCACUACGUCUAUUCCCGCCACUACUACGAACAGCAUUAACCUCACUCAUCUUAAUUGACAUAUUGUGUUCAUCUUCAAGGAAUGACUCCAUGCAAUCUCCGGUGGUCUUUUCCGGUGUUACCAAAGAAGUAGGAAUACUAGAAAAAGACUUUUCCACACCUGCGACAACAUUUAAAAUUUUCGAGAUAUAGUGACUGUAGGUAUAGGAAAUGAUAAAAACAUUCAACAAAUAAGACAUGAAUAAACAUACAUAUGAAUCAUUUACAAACAUCGUCUAAAUAUUUACCAUAAGAUGAUAUUUCCAGAAGAUUCACUGAUACACUAUUAAGAACCCCAAUAUCCAAAUCACAAUUUUCCAUGACCUUUGAGGUAGAGCUCUUCUCUUUAUCAAGGUGCUUGGGAGGACCUCCAGAGGCAGGCUGUUUCUUCUUCUGGCUGACUUCAACAUUAUGCAACCGGGCACUACGUCUAUUUCUACCACUUCCAUGAACAACGUUAAGCUCACUCAUCUUAAUUGACAUAUUGUGUUUAUCUUCAAGGAAUGAUUCCUUGCAAUCUCCCUUGGCCUUUUUUGGUGUUACCAAAGAAGUAGGAAAAGACUUUUCCACACCUGCGACAACAAUUAAAAUAUCUAGAAUAUAGAUACCGGAGAAAUAGAAAAUGGUGAAACAUUAAACAAAUAAGACAUGAAUAAACAUACAUACAAAUCAUUUACAAACAUUGUCUAAAUAUUUACCAUCAGAUGAUAUUCCUGGAAGAUUUGCUGAUACAUUAUUAGGAACAGCAGUAUCCGAAUCACGAUUUUCCAUGACCUUUGAGGUAGAUCUCUGCUCUUUAUCUGGGUGCUUGGGAAGACCUCCAGAAGCAGGCUGUUUCUUCUUCUGGCUGACUUUAACAUUAUGCAGCCGGGAACUACGUGUAUUCCUGCCACUUCCGUGAACAACGUCACUCAUGUUAAUUGACAUAUCGUGUUUUUUGUCAAGGAAUGACUCCUUGCAAUCUCCCGUGAUCUUUUCCGAUGUUACCAAAGAAAUAGGAAAAGACUUUUCCAAGUCUGCAACCACAAAUAAAAUAUCUAGCAUAUAGAGACUGGAGAAAUAGGAAUUGAUAAAACAUUAAACAAAUAAGACAUGAAUAAACAUACAUACAAAUCAUUUACAAAAAUCUCUAAAUAUUUACCGUUAGAUGAUAUUUCUGGAAGAAUUGCUGAUAAAUUAUUAAGAACAGCAGUAUCUGAAUCACAAUUUUCCAUUGCCUUUGAGGUAGAGCUUUGCUCUUUAUCUGGGUUCUUGGGAGGACCUCCAGAAGCAGGAUGUUUCUUCUUCUGGCAGACUUUAUCAUUAUGCAACCGGGCACUACGUCCAUUUCUACCACUACCAUGAACAACAUUAACAUCACUCAACUUAAUUGACAUAUCUUGUCCAUCUUCAAGGAAUGACUCCUUGCAAACUCUUGUGGUAUUUUCCUGUGAUAUCAGAGAAAUAGGAAAAGACUUUUCCACGCCUGCGUCAACAAUUAAAAUAUCUAGAUGUAGAGAUUGGAAAAAUAGGAAAUGAUAAACAUUAAACAAAUAAGAUAUGAAUAAACAUACAUACGGAUCAUUAACAUUUAACAAGCAUCGUUAAAUAUUUACCAUCAGAUGAUAUUUCUGGACAAGUUGCUGGUACAUUAUCAGGAACAGCAAUAUUCAAGUCACGAUUCUCUAUGGCGUCCGAGGUAGAGCUCUGCUCUUUAUCUGGAUGCUUGAGUGGACUUCCAAACACAUGCUGCUUCUGCUGACAGGCUUUGAUAUUAUGCAACAUAGUACUACGUCUAUUUCUACCACUACCAUUAGCAACAUCAACCUCACUCAUCUCCUUUGAAACUAUGCAUUCGUCUCCAGGGAAUGGUUUCUCGCAAUUUCCUGAGGCCUCUUCAGGCAACACUAACGAAGUAGGAACAGAUUUUUCCUCGCCUACAACAACAAUUAACACAACCAGUUACAUAUAUAGACUUAAGAGAUACAUGUCAAACAACUAUAAGACAUAGACACAGAUGAUUUACAACCAUCACCAAAAUAUUUACCAUCAGCCAAUAUUUCUUGACAACUUGGACAUGCAUUAUCCAGAACAGCAUCAACCAGAUCAGUACCAGCUUCUGAUUCUUCUCUGAAGCAAUCUAGAGCAUAGCUUUCCCAAUUUGGAGGAAAGCCAAAUAAAAAACCAUUGAAAACCUAAUCAUAAAGUUUUUUAAAAAAAGAGCAAAGUCCAUCAGGGGUAACACCCAAACUCAACUAAACAUCAUCAAAUGUGGAACAAAUACCAUCAUAAACAACAUCUUGCAAGACUAACCACAAAAGACAUUAACACUAACGACUACAAACCUGCGGAGGAAUACCAUUAUCCAGUGCACGCUGCUCGUUGAUGAAACCCCUGAUGAUAACAUAUAUACCAUCGGCAGUCUCAAGGGAAAACACAUCAUAUCUUUUGACAAUGGGAGCCGAAAUAAACACCCGAACCGCUUCUCCCCUGAAUCAUCACAACAUUGAGUGUGUAUUUUAUCAAACAUCAGAAACCAUUAUUAUAAUUGAUUUUAUCUUUGUCAAACAUUGAUAACUUCAUUUCAGUAAAAACUAAUAAUGUGACCUCUUUUGCAUUAGCUUGAAAAUCCUAAGCCAAGUUUUGAUCAAAUUUAUUAUUUAGAGUAAACAGGAGAAAGCUAUGAUGGAUUGCCUUCAUAAGUUGUCCAACACAGACUAAUCUUUCAAAGUCACAUAAAACUAAAAUGGUGAUCGACUGCACUCCUUGAAAGUCUAAGUUAACAAUCCUCCUGAUCUUAAAGGCUGAGACAAUGACUCUCAUUAAAAAUAAGGGAAAACAAAUGCGUCUCUCAAAACUCCUUGUCGAAGCGAUACCAUUUCAGCCGUAAAAACGAGGAGAGUUAUUAACUUAUAUUUUUUAUGAAUAUCAUUGAUCAUCAUUAGAGUUUUGGGUGGUGGUCCACCGGAGAAUUUGUCAGAGUUAAGAACACAAACAAUAAUUAAUCCAAAACUAAAUUUUCAUCCCAAUGUGUUAGGUAAAAGUGUAAAACCACAGUAACAAUUCACAGUGAAAAAUGUAGUUUUUGCCAAAAUCAUGGUCAUUCUUGGUUGUCUGCAAAACUCAUAGUGAAUCGAAACAUGCACAUAGUGGAAGCAAUAAACGUGCUUUUAGCUCCACACCAAAGUAAAUAAUUGCAGUAAUGACGAUAUUCUAGACAAAACGCGGCUCAAAGUUCAAAGCACUAAGGGUAAAACGACAAAGGUGUGAAAACCCUAAGACAAGAGAACUUACUUUCUGGAAGAGACACCAGCGACGGCUAAACGAUUUCCUUGGAAGUCGUUUAGGGAUUUAACAAGCCACCAAUCGUAUAAAGUAACCUAGAGAUUGCGAAAAGAAAAAGAAGUGAGAGAGAAGAAGGAAUGAAUUGAAGGGGAAAGUGAGUGAGUGAGUAACCACCGUUCUUUGGAAACAAGAGUAUGCGCAAGUAGGUGCGGUUGGAGUGGAGUCUGCCAUUGAUUGAGGUUACACUUCACUUUCAGGCGCAAUGUUGUAUGUAGUGUUUAUCUUUGUGAUUUUGAUUUCAUCUCAUUCCCGCUAAAAACACCUCUGCUCUGUAGAAUAGAAUCGUCACUUCAAAAUCGCAACCUCCCGUUUAAUUAUUACACUUCUGCGGGUUACACCUCUAUUUUCACUUUCACCUCACAACACUAGUAAUGCUAAUUAAAUGCGAAUAAAUGAUUUUAGAGAUAAAUUACCAUUUUAAUUUUUAUUCACAAAAAAAAAAAAUUUAAAUUGUCAAUUUGUUUUAUUAUUAAUUUGAUUUUUUUUUUCUGAGUCGGAUACUAAAAUGACAGUAUAAUAUAUCUUUUAAGGAUUAAAAUAAUUAUUUUACUCAAUUUUUUUUUAAUGAGUGAAUUGCCAAAUACAUUGUCAAUCAAAUUAGUUUCUAAUCUUUAUAAAUGGACAAAUACAAUGUUGAAAAAAUAUAAAUAUAAAUAGUCACUCAAUUUUUGUCAUUAGAUAUUUUGAUGUCACAUUGUAAUUAAAUAUGUGACUUAUUUACGUUGACCUCACAUCAAUGACAUAUUUCUGAAGAUAAAUUUGUCGAUGAAAUUUUGUCAUCUCAUAAACAAACUUUUGAACAAUUGUAGCUGUGCAUCGACAAAUCAUUAGCAAAUUCUUUAAUGAAAUAUUUAAAUUUCAUAGAAAGAUUAUUCUACAUUAUUAUGACUUUGAUAUAAAAUCAACAUCAAAUAUUAAAUAUUCAAUUAACAUGUCACAUUAUAGUCUCUAGCAAUGAAAAUUUAAAUAUAAGUUAUUUUAAUUACUAUUUUAUAAUUUUAAAAAUAUAUUUAUCAAUUUAUAAAAUUCAAAAAUUGAUUUGAUUAAGGCUACUUUCCUCUUUUUUUUGAAUAAUCAAUUUGCCUAUUUCCUCUUUUUUCAACUCAUACAUUAUUUAGAGAACGGAUACUUUAUGAAAAUCAUUUUCUAUUUUUUUUUUUAAAUUCGUGUACAUUUUAAUUUUGUUAAUAAAGAAUAAAUAAUUUUUUGAAGUGAAUAACUACCUACAUUUAUAGAAAUAAGAAAAAUGUUAAAAAAUUAUUUUCAUUAUUUCUAGAAAUACAUUUUUAUUGACUAGUGUUUCAUCUUCUCCAUAACAAUUGUUAUUUUCAAGAAUCUCUCAUCAAAAUAAAAUGAACACAAAUUUUAAGAGAUAAAAAAUAGAAAAUAUUUUAUAAGACCAUCCACCAUGGGUCUCUCCAAAUUGGAUGCUUAAAUGGAUUCCACUUAUACACAUAACUUAUUUUAUAAUUUUUAAUCAUAGUGUUUAAUAACCACAAUUUUCUUCAACAUGACACUUAUUUUUACUAAAUGAGUCUCAUCUCAUCAAUAAUUCCAUAUUAUUGUACUUCAACAACAUUAAUUUAUUUUAAUAUAAUUUAUUUUGUGAAACUCACAAAAAGUGAGAGAGAUAAUAACUAUAAAAGUACUCAUGUCUAUAAACAUCCAAUUUUCUGAAGUUACAAUGAAGGUGUUUAUGUAGUGUAUGUAGUAUUUAUUAAGAGAAUCACCUUUCACCGUGGAUGACUUAAAACAUUUAUUCUUUUCCGGUGUUUCUCUUCAUCACUCUCUCUCGUCUCAUAUGCCUUUUCAUGUAUCACCUCAUAUAAAUAUGUCAAAAAUGUCUAUAAAAAUAUUGAAAUAAAUGGUUUGGUCUUCUUGGGAUAAGAAGUUCUUGAAACUUUUAAUGAAUCAUAAAAUCUUUUUUUAUCUUAAAUUAGGACGUCGUCACUUUACUCUAAAUUUAUUAUAUAAAUAAAGAAGGAACUUGCAUAAGGUUUUACUUUAAUAUUUCAUUUGAUACCUAAUUAAAAUUGUCACCAUUUAUUGAGUUUUCAUUUAAUCGUCAUCAUUGGAAACAUACAAGUGAAAAAUAUGUUUAUGACAUACGUAGAUUACGCCGACGUACAAAUUUUAAUUUUAAAAAUCAAGAUUUUACAUGGUUCAACUUAUAUGAACUCAAUUUACGUAAACAUACAUCAAUUGAAUUCAUAUAUCGCAUGUAGAUUUAUAAUUUAUAGAUACAUUAACUCAAUUUUUAAAAUUUUACAUGAACCCAAUAUUGGACGUUAGUAAAUUCUACUAAUGUAUUUAUCAUCGACAUGAUAUUUGAUACCCUAAUAAUUUAUUAAGAUGAGAUAGAAAAGUUAGAGGGAAAGAUGAAAUUGUUGUUGUCAUCUUUAGGUCUAAAAUAAACACAACACGGCAAAAAAUAAAUAUAUAAUUAAUUAAUUCUUAAAUGUAAAAGAAGUGACAAUUAUAGACCUUGAAAUAACCUUAACUCGGUGAAGGAUACCUACACCCAAAAUGUGAUUGUUUAUUUAAAUUGAGAUAGAUACCUUCAAGUGAUGGCAUUUGCAUGUGAUAUUUGACCCAAAAAAAUUGACUCGUCAUUCUUUUCUUAGUCGAUUAUCGCAUGGAGAGAAAGUUUUACUUGAUGAUAUGACAAAGAACAUGUUUUAAAAAAAAUGAUAACAAUUAAGAGUCAUAAUAUGGAUAAUUUAACUAUCAUCAAACAAUUUACAUUAGAUGUCAAACAUAUAUUUCUUGAUUAUAGAUAAGGUAACAUGAUCGAAAAAUUUUCAUGUAUGGGUAUAUCUAACAGUGACAACACAUCAUUUAGAAUUAUGGACAUCUCCCUAAUCAAAAGAUGGAAGUUGUUGAUGUUAUAUGCCCCACUUAUUUACGAAAGCAUAAACAAUCUAUUUGUCAAUCAUAUUGUAGUUGCAUGUUAAUAGCGGUAAAAAUCUCAACCCCUACACUAAAUGUUGUACCUUUAUAUGUUAAAUGAUAGCUAGAUGCGUUUUUUUUUUUUGUAGCUAAAGACUUUCAUUCCUCAUGACCCUAAAAUAAAUGAAUAACAAUAUGUUAAACGUCACUUUAACAACAAUGGCUAAAAACAUAAAAUGCGACAUUAAAACACCACUUGAUCCCAAAGUUAAGGGGCCACGUGGUCCGUAAAUAUCCUAAAAACAAAAGUGUCACCAGAACCACCAAAGAAUCCCUCAGCUUCUACAUCGCCAUGUGAGAUAAUCUUAUGUUGUCGUUUCCUCCAUAUCCAAUUGUGGAAGUUGAUCCACCUGGUCCAUGCUGUCGUAACUAGUCCAACCACGUAGCACGAAAAUCGCCACGUCGAUGUAGACUUUCAUUCCUCAUGACCCUAAAAUAAAUGAAUAACAAUAUGUUAAAUGCCAUUUUAACAACAAUGACUAAAAACAUAAAAUGCGACAUUAAAACACCACUUGAUCCCAAAGUUAAGGGGCCACGUGGUCCGUAAAUAUCCUAAAAACAAAAGUGUCACCAGAACCACCAAAGAAUCCCUCAGCUUCUACAUCGCCAUGUGAGAUAAUCUUAUGUUGUUGUUUCCUCCAUAUCCAAUUGUGGAAGUUGAUCCACCUGGUUCAUGCUGUUGUAACUAGUCCAACCACGUAGCACGAAAAUCGCCACGUCGAUGAGCUCAUAUAAAAGCAAUGAGUAAACAUAGUACACAGUAUGCUUGCACCCAAAUAGUCAUACAUACUCAAUAUACAUGUACAUCCAAAAUAACAUAAAAAUGCAGGCAAACACAUACAAAAACUAAAUUCUUGUACACUAAGUUAAUUGAGUUUAUGUAUGUGUAAACUCAAUCUGCGUACAUCCAUAACCCAACUUAAAACCUUAUAAUUCUCAAAAUAGGAACUCAACUCUUGACCCAAAACACUAGAAAACCAAAUCAACACAAAAAUCACCCACAAACCUUAAAGCUCAACAAAAAACAAAGAAAACUUAGCUUAAUUCAAAAUCUAUCGAAGAAAGGAAUUGAAAAUGGGAAGCUUGAUUCUAGUUUUUGUGAAAUCAUUGUUGGAUCAUCCCAGUCAUGCGAACUCGUUGUUGGCUCAUAAAUACUUGAAUGUGAAGGAAGGGGAUUUGGUUGAUUUUUGAAUUUUGUAUUAGGUAUAACAGAAAAUUGAUCAAGUAGUUUGAUUUAAAGUUGACAGUGGGUGUAAAUGAAAAAAAAAUGGCAUAACUAGCAAAAAUCGUAGUUUUUUAGUAACUUGAUGUAUAUAAUGUGGAUAUGCUUUAAUGAGUUUCAUAUGUUAUUUUCUCCCAAUGUUGUUAAUGGACGUUGUAUGAAUGGAGAGUUAAAAGGGAAUGUAUUUGAUUAUGUAAAUCUUGUAAUUGUGCAUUUUUUAUACUAUUAUAACGGUACACGUGCAUUCACAUGGGACACUUUUAUUUUUACUCAUGUUUAAAAUACACUUGUUUAUAAAUUCAAUUAAUUUAUCUUAGAAUGAUAUUGUUAAUUGUUAUGACACAAAUGUUUGCCUUAAAAGUUAUAAAUAUAACGUUUCUAACAUCAGACCGAUAAUCAAUUUGAUCAAAGUACUCGGUCAAUAAGUUAGUAACCAAUGAAUCAUUAGUUGAACCACGUGAAUUGAUAGUUACUCAUAAAGCUUUUUUNNNNNNNNNNNNNNNNNNNNNNNNNNNNNNNNNNNNNNNNNNNNNNNNNNNNNNNNNNNNNNNNNNNNNNNNNNNNNNNNNNNNNNNNNNNNNNNNNNNNNNNNNNNNNNNNNNNNNNNNNNNNNNNNNNNNNNNNNNNGUGUAUUGAUAUUUACACAUAAAUCUUUUUUUAAAAAGAAAAUAUAUAUAUAUAUAUAUAUAUAUAUAUAUAUAUAUAUAUAUAUAUAUAUAUGAAUUUCAUACUAUAAAGUCCUAUAGUUCUAAUAGUCAUGGAUAAAUGACAGGACGUUAUGCUUGAGCUCACACCCGAGAUUUGAGCUCAAGUCUGAAAGUCUACAAUCGUUAAGUUAUACAUAAAUUUCAUUAUAAAUCUUUAAUGAGUUGAUAGUUCUUCUCAAUCUUGUGUUGUAGGAAAAAUCAAUUAUGUCCUCACCUUCACAUAAGAAGACUCAAAUCCAAUUAGUAGUCAGUGAUAGGAAGUUCAAUAAGAAGUGCGAGAAAGUGGAACAAUGAAAUUGUCAAUUAUAGGAAGUUCAAUAAUAAAACUCAAAUCCAAUUAGUAGUUGAAGCCCCAAUCAACCCAAAUGUCCCUUGCAAAACUCAUCAAUACGCUUUACGACACUUUCACAGGUACAUCAACCAUUGUUGUGUCAUUUUCCUUCAAUAUAGAAAAAUCAGCCCCUUCACAUAUUAUUUCAUCAAUUUUAUUUUAUAAAAAAUUUGGAAAGCAAAAGGAAGGAAGGAAAUCAAUAAAAGAGGUGGUGAAAACCAAUGUAAUUAAUUUGAUGAAAUUUGCAAUUCUAAUAAGUGGGUGUAUCUCUAUCAACUGUGAAAGAAAGAGUUUCCACGAGUUGAAUAACAUUGAUUGUGUCAUUAUCCGAUGCCAUGAAUGAAGAUAAGAUCCCCCUACACCAUUGUCUUGAGUCUUCUUCAGCAAAACCUAGAAAUAGAACCACCAAUAACAAUACUAUUUUAGAUCCUAUCACCAUUGCUCCUAAAACUAGAGCUCAUAGUUACUCAAAUGCCCUAUAUGUACUAAUUCAAUUCCCUCAUAUUCAUCAAACCCAUUUUAAGAAAAAAUUAUAUGAUUUAAUUAUGGGUCUUUGGAAGGAUCAAGUGAACUUGCUAGGCUUUUCAUGAUUUUUUAAUGGAUUUUGGAGAAUAAGGGUUAAAGUUCUUUUAAUUUGAAAAAGAUGAAUAUGUUUUAGUUAACCUUCAUUUUGGUCAUUGAAUAUCAAAUAAGACUCAAUAAAUGUCAACUUUUAUAUCAGUUAAGUGUAUGAUAAGUAAAAACUUUGACAACUUAACAUCAGAAACGAAAAAUAGAAAGAUAGUUGACGGUCAUGACUUAUUUGGUUAACAAAAUAUUAUUUUGUUUCUUUUAGGGACCGUUGUGACAACACUUGUCACUUUCAAAUAUUGAAAUGAAUGUUUACUCGUUAAAACAUAAUCAAGUAAAGUAAGGCAAAUUAAAUGCACAUUCAACUAAUAACAUAUAAACUCAUAAAAAUAUCAAUAAAUGCGUGAUAACGCAAUACACAUUCUAAUCAUUAACAAAGUCCAUUUGGUGGCCAAGGCUACACCAAAUCCAUUGGCAUUGACUAUCUAUAAAUCUUAUGUUGAGUAGUCAAAAUUAUCAUCAUUUGUAUGUAUUAACUUCAGUUGCCUCGCAUAACUGAUACUUGUAUCAAUUGGAUGUAAACACAACUUUUUAAAAUGGAGACUUGGAGGAGGAAGUCUAUAUGAAUCUUUCCCCUAAUCUUGUUCCUCCAUGCAAAAACUAUGUUUGCAGAUUGAAUCGUUCCAUUUACGAUAUUAACCAUGCCAGUAGACAAUGAAAUGAUAAGUUAUGUUCCAUUCUUUUAUCACUUAAUUUCACUUAAACAAAAUCAGAUUACUCAUUAUUCACAAAUCAUUAUUCAACAAGUUUUACUGCAAUUCGGAUUUAUAUCGAUGAUUUGAUUAUUUGUAGUACUGAUUUGAAUGAAAUAACAAGUGUCAAAAUUGUUCUACGUGACUAGUUUAACAUAAAGACUUGAGGACUUCAAAAUAUUUUAGGGUAUUUGAAGUGACUAGUCCAAAAUUGUCCUCAAAUGUUGUAAUGUGAAUCAUUCACUAAAUCAAUAGCGAUUCUGGCACGAAAUUACAUUUCCCCUCCUUAUCUACUGUCAUUGUCUGGCGACAUCAGUGGCUUUUAUUGUUCAGAUUAGGGGUCUAUCUAUAUUUUUGCAAAUCAACCACUACCUUAUUCUCAAUCGGAGCUUAUUUAGUUUCAUGGAAAAGUCUAUUGUAUCUAUAUCAUCCUCUAAAAUGAAACAUUCCUCUUUAACAACAACCACUUGUGAGGAACGUUGACUCCUCUAUCUUCUACUUGACUUUCACAUAGAUCAUCCUUUCAAAUUACAUCAUAUCUUUUAUUUUGUCUAUCAAACGAGUCAUAUAUGUUUUUGAAUAUCAAGAUACAAUUUAUAAGUUGUAAAAAAUCUUAAUUGAAUACCAUCGAAUUUUGUUGUAUUGUUAAAACAAUCUUAAUUGAAUACCAUAAAAAUUAUUUUUGUUCAUUUAAAAUCUUCAUUGAAUACAAGUAGAUUUUAUUAUAACAAAAAAGAUCUAUUGAAAUCUAUUUGAAUACACUCGAAAGAGUAAGGCUCAAAGUUCAAAGUCACAAAGUCCAAAACCUCAUCUCAAAAAUCUCCUACUAAGCUUAUAAUAUUAGGUUCUUAUUGAAAUAAUUUUUUUUUAAAUUCCAACCCAUUGUUUCAUUAAUUUUUGUAGACUUAAGUCUCAUAAGCCCAAUGCUUUGUUAAUUGAUAUAUUUUUUAAAAAAGAAUUUGAAAAUUUAUUUUUCUCGAAAAAAUAUCGGAAAAAUUUCUCUAAAAUAUUUUUUGUCAAAAAAUUUGGUGAAAAAAAUAACAAUUAUUUUUAUUGAAAAAAUCGAUUUUUUUUCUUGAAUAAACUUUUUCUUUUUAAAUCUUUAAUUUAAUUUUCAAAAAACUGUAAAAUAAAAUAACAAAAUAUAUUUUAAGAAUGAAACUAAAAAAAAUUCAAAAAAAAAUUAACUUUCUUUUUGAAAAAGUUGACUUAUAGAUCCUAUUAAGUCUAUAAAAUUUUAAGGUUUUUUUAGUUUUGAAAAUUUCAUUUUUUAGUAUUUUUAAAUUAUAAAUUUUUUUAACCCCUCUAACAUGUAGAAUGAAACAAAUAAUUAGUAAAUUUGUGAAAUUAAGUAUACCAAUAAUUAUAAAAACAUUGGAUAUAUUAAAAUAUAAAUUUAAACUUAAAAUUUUCACUUUUCUAUAAUUAAUACGUGUCAUCUCUUUAAAAUUAAAAAACAUAGCAAGAAUGAAGUGAUUUUUUCUCUAUAAAAUCUACUACUAAAAAAUCAAAUUGGACCACACGUUAUCUCAUAGAUCUGUGCUCAUAUAGGAGAAUAGGUUUGGUAACGUGGAAAUGAGAAAACUCAUUAAAUGCCACAUAAAGAGGAAGAACAAGUUGUUCAUAGAAAACGAUGUCCACUUGUCCAAAAGGGUAGAGAAAAUAAUCACUCAAUGAGACACAAUCCUUGGCCAAGACACGUGAAUAAAAACAUUUGCCAUUUGCCAACUCAACUCUAUCUGAUUAUGUUCCCUUAGGCUGUCUAAAUUCUCACCACACAAUGGGACUAAUAUACCAGUCAACAAAUAAUGAAACAUUAAAAACCCCAAGCUAGGCACUAUUUUAGAUGAAAUGUCUUAGAUAUCUCAUUCACUCAAAUUAAUUUUCAGCUCACUUUUGCAAGGAAAGUUAACAGGAUUGUUUAGAACUUCUAUAUUAAAUACCAGUCUUCAUUGUAUUUCGUCUCUUAAUAGUGAAGAAAUGAAAUAAUCAUAUUUUGCCUCAAAAUAAAUAAAUAAUGAAACAUUAAUUUGAUUAUUAAUUGUUAUUUUUUCAUAAACAAAAAGCACACAUUUGUUAGUAAUUUCGUGGAUCAAAAUAAUUAACGAAAAAACACAUUCAAAAAUUAAAAAGUAAUUAAAGACACAUUCAAAAACAGUUGGAAAACAAAAUACACAUUCAAAAAUAUAUUUACGAUUCUAAUACACCUGGUGGCUACAAUCAUACUGUCUCACACAAUUAUCAAAAAUGAUAUUUCCACAUAAACAAUUGCUUGCUUCUUUUUUUCUUUCACCCAAAAUAUCACCCCAACAAACCCUUCAUCGCCGCGUAUUUUUUCGAUGUAAAGGCACAACAUGAUAUGUUCAACAGAAACGCACAUGUUUUUGACUUUAUUAAUAACAGGAAUGAUUCCUCAGUCACGUAAAUGGAUAAGCAAAAAAUAUCUUCUUCUUCAUCUGUUAUUUAGUCAACAUAUCAAUUUUGAACACAUAGGCACAAUCACAACCAUGUUGAAAUAAAAAAAUAAAAAAACAGAUGCUAUUCUACAUUUAACUUUUUCUUCAAGAUUACUUAACAGAUGAUAAAUGUUGACUUCAUCUUUUACUAGUAGGGUAGGGUAUAGUAAAUUCAAAUAUUCGUUUUUUAAUAAGCCUAUAACACCACUGUUAGAAUCCACCACUAAUUCCAUAACAUAAGGAAUAAAGUGGCCCAGCUAAAUAGGAGAAGUUUAAUGAGUUCUUCCUCCUUGACACUGUAUUGCUAAUGGAAGUUAACUCUAUUAUUGAAUCAAGUCAUCAUUGCAAUUUGCAACUGCUGCAUAUAGUGUCAAUAAAAUACGACUAUUUGGAAGGACAAUAACAAGACAAUAAAACUGAUAAAACAGAAAGUGAAGGGAAAACUCUGUUGUAUACAAUGAUCACUGUAUCAUUCCACUGAGCAAUGAAUCAUUCAAUUCUUCUAUUUUCAGUAAUACAAUAUUUCAAAUGUAUAUGAUAAUUUCUUAAUCUUAUAAUCAAAAGCUUGAAGAUGUACUGGAACAAUAAAAGAACCAGGCAAUUAGUGAGCUAAACUAUAACUGCUACAGACAACGCAAGAAAACAUUUCUAUUAAAAAUAACACUGCAUGGUAAAAGUUAGAAAAACAAUGAUAAACGCACCAUACUAGCAGCAUCCCUAACAAUUUUUUUUUAUAAUGGUCUAUAUCUCAAGUCAACAUAAGAUCAUUUGCUCCCAGAUGAGGGCGGAGGCAAACGCGAACUUCGUGCUCUUCAGGUCCAACGCGAUGUUUUGGCACCAUGAUCUCUAGCACUGAUCCUGGCUCAUCAUAGUAUGCUUCCAGAUUGGCGUCUUCAGGAAUUCUGGUUGAGAGAGAAAUUUCGCGGACAAAUUCUCCAGGGGGGCAGUGCUCUGAGGAUGCAUCUGUAAGCUUGAAUGUCCUAUCACGUCUCUUGAUAAAAGGCUUUCGAGAUGUGCUCAUACAAGAAACCUUGAUGAUACCAUGAGUAAGAGUGUUCCUCCAUGAAACUUUCACACUUGCAAGAUCUACAAAGGGCAGACUGAUUAUAAUCAAGUAACCUUGUUCAUCCUCAUAGAUAGUUUUUGCAGCUGUAACAGGUCCAUAAGCAUUCUUUAUCACCCCGCUUAAGUCAUUUAACCAGUGUGGCUCACUUGGGUGCAUUUCUAUGUCUUGGAUCUGAUCGGAUGGAGGAUUAACAGCCAAGUAACAUUCUUCAUCAAUUACAUUUCCGUUACCAUUUCCACGAGGGAAAAAGUCUUUUCUCUUUUUUCCGUUGACAGGAGACAAGUCCAAUCCAUCGCCGUUAUUAGACAGAUGAGUUGACAAAUUCAAUCCAGAUCCAUUAAGCAGCUUCUUUGGGUGUGCAUUUGCAGUACCCUUGAUUGAAGGAAUAGGUCUAUCAAGCUCAAAGUCUGUGUUGGGAAGAUUUCUCCAUGAACUAAAAUCGCUUGCUUCAGGUGGGACUGUAAAAUUCAAAUCUCGGCCGGUGAGUUCAAUCCACCUUUUCCGAUCAUCCUCAUCAAGAUUCAUCAGAUUGGGGGAAGGAAAAACCUCAAUGCCAUGCACACACUGAGGGUUUGACAGUCCCCGAUAAUGCUUCCUUUGCAUCCGGUGGGAUCGAACAAAACCUUUGUCAACACUGAAAGGAAACGGGCGCUCCCCUUGGCGAGAAUGCCCAUUCAUGUAACUCCUCAGCUGCAUCUUACCCAAUGCAUUUUCAGGCCUCUCCUUGAAAACCCACAUGUACAUAUUUUCCAUGUCAUGUUGAACCAUGAAAACAUCAAGAUUGAGAUCACAUUUCUCAAAACCUGAAAUGCCAUUACCGUCUCUAACAAUCUUGGCCUUGGAUUUAUCAUUCAAGGAAGGCUUAAAGUAAAAACUGAAGAAAAACCAAGCACCCCACAUGCUAUCAACUCGCUUAGCACAUUUCCUUCCAACUUUGGGCAGAGUGAGAAAAGUCUCAGUCUCAUACCCUUGAGUACCAAGACUAACAUCCAAAAUAUCACAAGGAUCAGAAUUCCAUGACUGCGGAGGCGGACUACGUUCGGCAGAUAACGGCAAAUUGAUAUCUGGCGGGCGAGAAAGUAUGAUUUGGCGAUUCAUCUCCAAGUCCAGUUCCUCAUGAGAAGAUGCACUUGAAUCCAUGGACAAUAACGUGGAAGGGUGAUGAUUCUCCAUUGAGAAAGAAGCAAAACAAGAAUCGCCAAUGCUACCUCAUCUUGUUGUUGAUGAGUUGUUGUUUUAUUGCUGGUUGAUACAAUAUUGCCAUCCCAAAAAUAAUUCAACAAAAAAACCUUAUAAACAACACCUUCAUCGUAUCAAUACCCACUAUAUUUAUCAAUUCAAUUUGAGAGGAAACAAAAAACACAAAAAUCAACAAAUCCAAAUAAUUUAAAAUAGUUCCUUUUCUAUUUUUUUUCUAUAAAUUCAUAAAUAAACAUACUCAACAACAAUAAAUACAAUUACAAAUAUAUGUAUAUUAUAUAUCUCUCUGUUCAAUCUAUUCAAGAGAUUUUGAAAAAUGCUAAAAGAGAAUUAUACUCAACCCUAUUUAUCGUAUCUGGAUAAACCCUCCAAAAUCAAGGGGAAAAUAGUGAAACUGAAUCAAAUCCAUAAAACAGAAAUAAAUAAAAUAGAGUCUCUGAAAAAAGACUCAAUAAAAAGGAAAUAGAUCUUCAAAGAUUACCUUUUAGGAUAAGCAUCAGAGAAUCGAGAAGAACAGGAACCUCCAUAACCGACGAUGAUGCGCUUCAUAAUAUCAUCGACAACCAUGUUUUCAACAAACUCUCCAGAGUAAUUUUCGUCAUUUUCUACAAUUAUUAUUAUUUAUAUUUUUUUCCCAAAUAAAAACCCUAAUUUUGUUUUUGUUGUUGUUCACAUCACGUAAGACAAUUCACCUUUUUGGAAUACAGCGUUUUACUGCGGCGGUGCAUCAACUCUCUCUCUCUCUCUCUCUCUCUCUCUCUUUUAUUUUUUAUUUUUUUACUUAUUUUUUAUAUAUAUUCUUUGCAUCCAAUCUCUAUACUUUAUCGUAUUAUCAUAAUGUAUUAUUAUUAGUUAGUCUUCAAUUUUAAUUUGUCAUCUUGCAUCACCCACAAAACAAAAUAUCAUCUUAUAUAUUUACGAUUAAUAAUCAUUUAUAGUGAUAGAAAAAAUAAUUAUUUAUCAUUAAUCGAUAAAGAUAUUUAGACAUCACAAUGUAGGACACUAUAUUUUUAUACAAUUUUCUUCUUCUUUCUAUUCGAGUAUACCUCAUUUUCUAUACAUAUUUAGUUGUUUGUAGAUUUAUAUAGUGUUAAGUAUGAUGUUGACAAAUUUAUGUCCAAACGACAGUGUCUUUCAUUCAUUUUGAUCAAGAUUAUAAUUUUAAAGAGUUUUAUUUAAUACAAUGAAGAAAUAAAAGAUAAAAACUAAGUAACAAAUAAUCAGAGUUAUGUAAAAGAUAGUUGAUUGGGUAACUCAAUCUCUUCUUUUUAAUCUAGAUUAGUCCGAUUAUCAUUAGAACGAUUUGCCUCUUAAUAAAUACGAGACACCUUACAAUUUCAAUCCCCAUGAUCCAACAAAUCCAAAGCAUCAAGAAUAAGAGAUUUAGGAUAAAGAUUAUGAGACUUUUGAGAAAUCGUCGAUUAAUCAACUAAUUUAUGUUAAGGGUUAAAAAAGUGGAAAUUUUGAGUUCAAAUCUAAGUGAAAGAAAAAAUUAAUAUAAUAAUUAAUUAUUAACUUUGAUAAUUUAAAAAAAAACGAUGAUAAAAUUCAUCUCCUUAAAAAGAGACAUUCAUCUCUUUAAAAGAGACAUUUAUAAACCCCAAAGCUCAACUAUAACUAUCUUAUAUUGACCAAAAUUACAAUUGAAUCCCUAAAGAUAACAACCAUUGAAUCUCUGGUAAGAUCGACACAAGCUGACCUACCAAUAAUUUUAAUAUGGGACUCAUGACAUUAAACUUGAAAGAAGAGGAGGGUGUGAGACAUCCUCUGUCACAAAAAUAUUAUAAAAUGUAUAUUGUAUAAAAAAUAUAGGUAAAGUUGGUCCAAAAUAAAACAUAUACAGAUCACAAUUAAAAACAUGUAGAAAUAACAAAUUUAAAAAAGAGUUCAACCCAAAAAUUUUCACUCUAAUAAGAGUUUACUGUAAACAAAUCUCACAUUUAUUAGUAGACUAACAUGUUAAGAACUAAGAUAAUUAAACUACUAUCUACGACAUUGACAUCAUAUCUCUGUCUCUUCUUCGUGACAAUUAUUUCAUCUGUUGUUAUCUCAUCAUCUACCUACACAUGUAAUGUGUAAGCGCGACAUGAAAAAACUAAAGACGACUCAUCAUUCUCAAAACAUAAUAAAAUAGAGUAAAGUAAAUUAAAUGCACAUUCAAUAUAAUAAUAUUUAACACAACAAUACCAACAAAUGCAUUAUAACAUGAUACAAAUCCUAAUCAACCUAUACUUAUUGCUGGAUCCAUUUAACUAUGUGUUGAUACAAGUAAAGAAGCCACUUGCUAUUCUAUGAACAAGAGUGUCUAGUUAGGAUUCAAAACAACUUCAAUCCUAUGCCAACACUGACGAUUCAAAAGAUUCAAAAGUCUCCUUGAAAACGCACAUCUACAUGUUUUUCUAAUCAUACUAAACCAUGAAAACAUCAUUGUUUUAAAUCAGAUUUCUCAAACCCCAAAGCACCAUUAUUAUCAUCCCUAAUACAGUUGCCUUAGAUUUUCCAAGCAACGCAAGCUUAAAGUAAAAUUUGAAGAAAAACCAAGCAUCCCAAAUGGUAUCAACACGCUUCAAAUAUUUCUUUCCAACGUUCGGAAGAUUAAGCAAACUCUUAGUCUCAUAUCCACCUUGAGUACCAAGACCAACAUCCAAAAUAUCAAAAAGGUCAGAAUUCAACAAAACAACCUUAUAAUCACCAUCAACUUUACAUCAACAAACACCCAUAACAAUAGCAACUAAAACCCUCCAUAUAAAAAAAAAAAAAAAAAAAACUAGAUUUAUAAAUUAGAUAAUGUACAUAAUGCAUAAUAUAAGACCCUGGAUAAUUUUAGUUGUCCAUUUUUAUAAGAUUCUUUUUAAAUUGUAAAUUAUAUUAAUUAUUUUUUUACUGUGUAAAUAAUUUACAUCUUUUUUUCUUUCAAUCAACAAUAAAUAUUAUAAUAGAAACGUUAAUUAAUUCUCUCUCUUUAAAUAUAUAUUUGUAAAAACAAUAUCAAUUCUUAACAAAUUUGAUAUUACCAUUCAUUUUCUUCAUUUUCAAGAGUUAGCCAAAUAGAUCUUAUACUUAAAGACAAAAGUAAUUUUAUUUUCUUAUAAACAAAAAAUCACAUAUACAAACAAAAAUAUCACAUAUCAAAACUUGAUUUAAGUCUUGCUUACUAUUGAAAACUAUUGUACUGUGGUGUUAUUAUAUUAUCUAAAUGAAUUAAAAUUACAAAUCAUCUUUGUGUGUAACCUAAGUAAUCAAAGGUGUUCAAAGACAAAGUUGAAAACCAAAAUAAACAUUCAAAAAUAUAAUUUUUUAUUUUACCAUAAUAAUCCUAUCUCACACAGCUAAGUAUUUCUUUUGUCUCAUUUGUCAUUUUUCUUUAUCUUAAAUUAUUUUUCAUUUUACAAUAUAAAUUAUUUUUAAAAAAUACUAGGACACUUGUUAAACAUCUAAAAAUAGAAACUUUACAAUCCAAAUAUAUUAGAAUUUGUGCAUUCAUCACUUUGAAAGUAAAAAUAUUUUUUUCAAUGUAAAAUGACCAUUUCUUGAUUGCUUAACAAAUGUUCUAACGACACUUAUUAACAUCAUACAUUACUUCUUCUACUAAUAUACAUUUAUGUGUUGUAUCUUAGUUGAUCAAAUUUCUCAACUACUUACAAUUAAUAAGAAUAUUUAAAUAAACAAUGUUUUUUUAUAUUAAAAUUAAUAAAACUAAUUAUUUUCUUAAGAAUCACACAGAGCUUACGAUUAAAAUGAGACAAUAAUAAAGUAUAAAAAAUGAUAUGUCCACGUAAACAAUUGCUUGCUUGUUUUCCCUUUCACCCAAAAUGUCACCCCAACAAGCCGCGUAUUUUUUUCCAUGUUGAGGCACAACAUGAUAGGCACAACUGAAAUGGGACAUAUUUUUGACUUUAUUAAUAACAGGAAUGAUUCCUCAGUCACGUAAUGUGAUAAGCAAAAAAUAUCUUCUUCUGUUAAUAAAGUCAACAUAUCAUCCACAAUCGCAACAAUGUGGAAAUAUAAAAAACACUAUUCUACAUGGAACAUUUUCUUCAAGAUUACUUAACAGACAAUGAAUAUUACUUUGUCUUUUAAAAAGUAGGAUGUAUAGUGAAUUGAAAAUUUCGUUAGAAAAACUGUUAUAAUCCACCGUUAAUUCCAUAACAUAAGGAAUCAUGUUAGUGGAAGUUAACUCUAUUAUUGAAUUAUGUUAUCAUUACAUUUUGCAACUGCUGCGUAGUGUCAAUUAUUUGGGAGGAGAAUAACAAGACAAUAAAACUGAUAAAACAGAAAGUUAAGUGGUGGAGGGAAAUCUGCUGAAUAUAUUUGUCCACUGUAUCAUUCCACUGAGCAAUGAAUCAUUCAACUCUUCUUCUAUUUUCAGUAAUAAAAUAAUCCAAAUGUAUAUGAUAAUUUCUUAAUCUUAUACAUGAUUAUGCUUACAAUCAAAAGCUUGAAGAUGCACUGGAACAAAAAAAGAACCAGGGCAAUUAGUGAGCUAAACUAUAACUGCUACAGACAAAGCAAGAUAACAUCAUUUCUAUUAAAAAUAACACUGCAUGGUACAAGUUAGAAAAACAAUGAUAAAGGCACCAUACUAGCAGCAUCCCUAACAAUUUUUUUUAAUGGUCUAUAUCUCAAGUCAACAUAAGAUCAUUCCCUCCCAGAUGAGGGCGGAGGCAAACGCGAACUUCGUGCUCUUCAGGUCCAACGCGAUGUUUUGGCACCAUGAUCUCUAGCACUGAUCCUGGCUCAUCAUAGUAUGCUUCCAGAUUGGCGUCUUCAGGAAUUCUGGUUGAGAGAGAAAUUUCGCGGACAAAUUCUCCAGGGGGGCAGUGCUCUGAGGAUGCAUCUGUAAGCUUGAAUGUCCUAUCACGUCUCUUGAUAAAAGGCUUUCGAGAUGUGCUCAUACAAGAAACCUUGAUGAUACCAUGAGUCAGGGUGUUCUUCCAUGAAACUUUUAGGCUUGCAAGGUCUACAAAGGGCAGACUGAUAAUAAUCAAGUAACCUUGUUCAUCCUCAUAGACAGUUUUUGCAGCUGUAACAGGUCCAUACACAUUCUUUAUCACCCCACUGAAUUCAUUUAACCAGUGCGGCUCACUCGGGUGCAUUUCUAUGUCUUGGAUCCGAUCAGAUGGAGGAUUAACAUGCAGAUAACAUUCUUCAUCGUUUACAUUUCCGUUACCAUUUCCCUGAGGGAAAAAGUCUUUCCUCUUUUUGCCGUUGACAGGAGACAGGUCCAACCCAUCGCCAUUAUUGUUGUUCGACGGAUGAGUUGACAAAUUCAAUCCAGAUCCAUUAAGCAGCUUCUUUGGGUGUGCAUUUGCAGUACCCUUGAUUGGAGGAAGAGGUCUCUCAAGCUCAAAGUCUGUGUUGGGAAGAUUUCUCCAUGAACUGAAAUCGCUUGCUUCAGGUGGGACUGUGAAAUUCAAAUCUCGGCCGGUAAGUUCAAUCCACCUUUUCCGAUCAUCCUCAUCAAGAUUCAUCAGACUGGGUGAAGGGAAAACCUCAAUGCCAUGCACACACUGAGGGUUUGAAAGUCCCCGAUAAUGCUUCCUUUGCAUCCGAUGGGAUCGAACAAAACCUUUGUCUACACUAAAAGGAAACAUGCGUUCUCCUUGGCGAGAAUGCCCAUUCAUGUAACUCCUCAGCUGCAUCUUGCCCAAUGCAUUUUCAGGCCUCUCCUUGAAAACCCACAUGUACAUAUUUUCCAUGUCAUGUUGAACCAUGAAAACAUCAAGAUUAAGAUCAGAUUUCUCAAAACCUGAAAUGCCAUUACUGUCCCUAACAAUCUUGGCCUUGGAUUUAUCAUUCAAGGAAGGCUUAAAGUAAAAACUGAAGAAAAACCAAGCACCCCAUAUGCUAUCAACUCGUUUAGCACAUUUCCUUCCAACUUUGGGCAGAGUGAGAAAAGUCUCAGUUUCAUACCCUUGAGUACCAAGACUAACAUCCAAAAUAUCACAAGGAUCAGAAUUCCAUGACUGCGGAGGCGGACUACGUUCGGCAGAUAAUGGCAAAUUGAUAUCUGGCGGGCGAGAAAGUAUGAUUUGGCGAUUCAUCUCCAAGUCCAGUUCCUCAUGAGAAGAUGCACUUGAAUCCAUGGACAAUAACGUGGAAGGGUGAUGAUUCUCCAUUGAGAAAGAAGCAAAACAAGAAUCGCCAAUGCUACCUCAUCUUGUUGUUGAUGAGUUGUUGUUUUAUUGCUGGUUGAUACAAUAUUGUCAUCCCAAAAACAAUUCAACAAAACAACCUUAUAAACAACACCUUCAUCUUAUCAAUCCCCACUAUAUCUCCCUUCCAUCAAACCCCUAUAUUUAUCAAUUCAAUUUGAAAGGAAACAAAACACAAAAAAAUCAACAAAUCCAAACUAUUAAAAAUAAUCCCUUUUCUAACUUUUUUCUAUUUUCUCUUUAAAUUAAUUAAUAAAUAAACAUACUCAACAACAAUAAAUACAAAUAUAUAUAUUUAUAUUAUUAUAUAUAUAUCUCUGUUCAAUAUGUGCAAGGGAUUUUGAAAAACGCUCAAAGAGAAUUAUAGUUAAUUUAACCCUAUUUCUCGUAUCUGAAUAAACCCUCCAGAAUCAAGGGAAAAACAUUGAAACUGAAUCAAAUCCAUAAAACAGAAAUAAAAAAGAGAGUCUCUGAAAAAAGACUCAAUAAAAAGGAAAUAGAUCUUCAAAGAUUACCUUUUAGGAUAAGCAUCAGAGAAUCGAGAAGAACAGGAACCUCCAUAGCCGACGAUGAUGCGCUUCAUAAUAUCAUCGACAACCAUGUUUUCAACAAACUCUCCAGAGUAAUUUUCGUUAUUUUCAACAAUUAUUAUUAGUUUUUAUUUUUAUUAUUAUAAUGAUUAUUUUCCCGAAUAGAAAACCCUAAUUUUGCUUUUGUUGGUGUUGAAAUCACAUAAUGAGAGAGAGAGAGAGAGAGAGAGAGAGAGGAAGCGUAAGUGAGCGUGUGAUUAUAAGGAGAGGUUCGUAGGAUGAAGCCUGCACUGGAUAACACCAUCCACCUUUUUGGACCACACCGUUUGUUUACAGUGACGGUGCAUCAAGUCUCUCUACUUUAUCACAUCAUCACAUAUAUUUAGUCUUCAAUUUUAAUUUCUCAUCUUAAUGAAUCACCAACAAAAAAUAUCACCUUAUUUAUAUAUAUAUAUAUAUAUAUAUAUAAAAGGUGAUAUUUUUCUUCUUAAAUAUAAUUUUUAAUUUUGAUUCUUUUAUCAAUAUUAAUUUAUUUUUUAUAAAUAAUAAAUGUUAGUUAUUUUAAAAAGUUUUAAUCUUAAAUAAAUUAUAAAGUUAAGUAUGUAAUAUUAACAAAAACGAAAUAAAAAUAUAGAUAACUCUGAUAAAUAUCAUUUGUUUUAAAGGAUUUACGUAUAUAUUAAAACAUGUUAGAGUAACUUUUUUUAAAUCAAGAACAAUGUUUUCAAGUGGAAGCCUAUUAGUAAGUUAAAAAUAUGUUCUUUUGAAAGAAUAUUACAGUGAAUACAUAUUGAUAAUUGUUAGAAAUUAUUUUAAUGAUUAAAUGUUAUAAUUUUUGUUGUGAUUAUUAUAAAAACUAUAAUACAUCAUUUAUAAAAGAUAAAAAAACAAAAAUAAAUAAAUAAAACGAAUCUUAAAUACAAGAUAAAAUACAAAAAUCAUAUUUAAUUUUUUUUAUAAUUAAAAAUCAGGUUAAAUAAAUUUUUGGUCCUUAGAAAUAUAUCAUAUUUCGUUUUUAGUCAUUUUAAAUUUUUUCUUCAAAUAAUGGUUCUUUAAAUAUUUUCAAUAAAUAAUUUUGCCCCUUUUUUUUAAAUGAAUUCAUGUGUAUUGUCGAAAUUUUUAAAUGAAUUCGUGUAAGUUCAUAACAUUAUAAUAAUUAUAUCUCUCACAAAAAUUUAAUUUUUUUAACAAAUGAUCAAUUAAAUAUGAUUUUAUAUUUAAUUCAUUUUUUAUUAAAAAAAUGUUUUUUUUUGUAAAAAAUAUUCUUAUAAUGUUUUAAAAAUGUUUGCAAAAAAUCAUUUAAAAAUUUAAAUGAUACACAUGAGUUGACUUAAAAGUAUAGACCGAAAUUAUUGAUAGAAAAUAUUUGAUAAACUAUUGUUUGAAGAAAUUUUUGAAAGGACUAAAAACAAGAUAUUUUAUAUUUAUAGUGAUAAAAAAUAUAUUUAAUCCUAUAAGCAAUCUUCAUCUAUCCAUGUUUAAAGACUACAUUUGCUAAUUACAUAAUUAAUUAAAUCUACGAAUAAAUUCACAACAUCCAUAUUAAUAGCAUAAAAUGUAAAAAUAUCUAUAAAUUAAAUAAAAUUAUAAUGAUAAAAAUACUCAUAUCUUCGAAUUUACAAUGUUCGUGAUACUGAAUUCAUUUAUUGAAUUUAUUUAAUAUGAAUUGAAGAUAAUAUAAACAAAUGAACAACUCAACAAUUGUUUUGUAUUUUGACAUUAUGUAUGUAAUAUGUUUUCUCAUGAAUUUCAAACAUGUUGGAGGUAGUUAUUUUAUCGUUAAGGUUUAUGCUAUGAAUCCUUUUUGAAGUUCCUUUUGUAAUUGAGUGACACGAAACACGUAAUGCUCUUUACUUUUAUGAGUGAGAAUGUUUUUAAUUUUUUUUUAAAUUUUUUUCAAUGUUUUUAAAUAAGUUUAAAGAAAUUAGAUUUUCUAAAUAAAUAUGAGGUUUAGGGGGUGUGAGAUAAAGCAAGUUGUUUAUUCGAUAACCAACAGAAAAGAUCAAUAUCACCAACACUAGAUCUGCUGCCUAAAUUUCUUUUAGCCAAGUUCAAAGUUCUUAACCAACUCUAAUUCCAAUUCCAUCUAUUACUAAACAAAUCUCGCAAUCAAUAUGUGAAUAUUGAAACACAAUCUCAAUUCGUUAGAUUGAUGACUAUUUUUAAAUAGCAAGACGUUAGUAUUAAUUUGAAGUUGUAUUUAGAUGUUAUAUAUAAUUUACUUAUUUUGAUAAAUUUAAAUAAAAUAAGUUGAAUCUUUUAUAUUUCAUUCAAUAAAAAUAUAAUGUUUUAAAAUAAUUUUAUAAUUUUUAAAAUUAUAUUUAUUUAUUUAUUAGAAUGAUGCAUAAAAAAACAUUAAGAGAACUCUAUUACUAUUCCAUAGUCAAGAUUUUGACUCUGAAACCAUCUUUCUCUUUUAGUAUAGUAAUACCCAUUUAUCAAACACGCCUUCGUGUAAACUAAUGUCAUUUACAAGAGAUUGUGACAGUUUUGGUUUAUAGGUUGAUCCAAAUGACAUGUUGAUUGAUUGAUUCGUUCACUGAAGUAGGUUUCUUAUAUUAAUGUGAUUUUGGUUCUAAAGGUGUGACACACGAGAAAAAUAGAGAUAACAUGGUUUUAAGAUGGAUUUUACAGACCAUUGUUUCUGUUGGAGAAAUCUACACCUACCUAAGAUCUUUUAUGAAACACACACUAUAAAGGAAUAUAUUCACACGAGCAGUGGCACCCUUGAGUAUACUGAGUAGCAGCACCACAUUUUUUAUUAUAGUUAAAAAACUAUAUAAUUAGAAAAUGUGUAUAUUGAAGCUUAAGGGGUUCAAUUUUUUAAAUUAAAUUCUAGGAAACACUAAUGAGUAAGGAUGAGUAAUCCAUUGUGAAUAAGAUGGAGAGUACUUUGAGACUCCGAUUGCGACUCUGAUUGCACCACAAUGUUCCUAAAUCCCCUUUUCUUUCCAAUAAUAUCAUUUUUUUUAAGCAAGCAAUCAAAACGUACUUGAAUCACACAUGAUUUUAAAAAUAUGGAUCAAAUCAGUUUUUACUUCAAAAUUAAGAACUAGAAUAUGUUGCAAUUACUAAAGUAUCCAAUUUCUUAAUCUGAACUAAUAUCUAUUUAUUGUUGGAAAAAUAAAUAAAUAGAGAAAUUUAAAAAACAAACAAAACAUAAGAAAAUAACUUAGAAAUUUUAAAUAUUGAAAAAAAACAACGACAGUUGUCUAAUGACAACUCGAGAGUAACAUAUUGUGAAAAUUGUUGCAAUAUAUAAAUUUAUCUCGAUCUUCCUAUGACUCCCAGUUUACCCACACCCUCCAAAACAAACAUUUGAACUAUAUCUUACACAACACUCUAACAUAUGAUUAUAAAAUAAAAGAAUUAGAUACAAGUUUAAAGUGUUUAUGACUGAUGCAAUUUGUAAUGAAGAACUAGAGUCAUAAUUGAGCUCCCUCUUCUUUUACAAUUCCAAGUAAUGUGAGACUAUUUCCAUUUUUCCAAUUUCAACCAAAACUCAAUAAUUUUAGCUCUGAUACCAAAUGUUGGGUUCAAUUGUGAGUGAUUAAGUCACACAUUGACUAUGAACGUGGUAAAUAUUGAAUAUAUAAGAGGAGACUCAUAUAUCUGUACCUUAGGAUUUUGGAUAAAAAAGUGGAGUUAAAAUCUCUUUUGGAUCCUAAAACAUUUGACCGUUGUUGCUCUCGCACUCUCGGACUCCUCAAUAUUUAUGUUACAUAUUUUAGAUAUAUGUACAUUUAUACACUUAAUUAACUUUAUAUUUCUCCAAACGAAAUAGUUAGUAUUCUUAGAUACUAUUGGCAACAUGAAAUUGGAUUCCAUUAACUUUAUAUUUUUCCAAAAGAAAUAGUUAGUAUUCUUACUUACUAUUGGCAACAUGAAAUUGGAUUCCAUGUAGUUAGUGCAUGGACGCAAUAACCUAAAAUAUAUGGUUGAAAUUUAAUAUUUUGUGAAAGUUUCAAAAUCAAUACUAUGUUAUUGGCGUCGCUGAAUCAUAGAUUAACAACAAAGAAACUCCAAAAAUGGACAACUACAAGAAUCUGAAUCCUUAACAAGACACCUAUAUGAUGAUGGUAAGAUGUAUUGGUUCAUCUAAAUAAACGACAUUAUAUUUUUACCCUGCACUUUUGUUGCAAGGGAAUUUAAACAGAUUUACAUAUAGUUUUUUUUAUUGGAUAAACUACCAUUUCGGUCUCUGAAUAAAAAAAAAUGUUUUUAUUUCAAUGUUCGACUCAACAAAAAUUUCAAUCAAUCCCUAAUUUAGUCAAACGUUAACUUUUUUUUUUCCAGCAUUGUUAAGUGUGUGACGUGUACAUGUAUGUGAUUGAGUGAUGUGUCACUUUCUCCUACGUGGGUAUGAUGAAUAGGCAGAGACCAAAAUGACAUAAAGUUAAAAAUAAAUAAAAAAAGUAUGAAGAUUUAAAUAAAAAUAAUAAAAAAAUUAACAGGGACCAAUUUAACAAUACCAUAUAACAUACAUAAACCACUAUGACCAUAAAUUAUUACUAUAAGGGACUAUGAUAGUAAGUGUUAUUUUUGUGGGAACAUUAUGAUUAUAUGAAAGUUGGCUUUUGUACCCCUCAAUUAAUCCUAUAUUCCCUCAUUUAAAAUUUUAUUUUUAAAUAUCCAAACUACCCUUGAUAAAACUGUUAAAAUUUAAAAGAAUAUUUUUUACCGGAAAUUUCAUUAUGAAUUAUGAAUGAAAUUUCCGGUAGUUAUAAAUGAAAGAAUGUUGUUUACCGGAAAUUUCAGAAUGAAUGAAAUUUCCAGUAGUUAUAAAUGAAUACCGGAAAUUUAAUUUUUGAAAUUUCCCCCACGAUGCCAUCAUGUAUUAGGCUUACAAAUUUUUUUUCUUCUCAUUUUUAUAAUUACAAAAUUGUUUAUUAGUAAAACAAAAAUAAUUAUAAUAUUUUAAAAUACCAAAUAUUAUUUAUAAAUUAAUUAAUAAAAUAAAUUAUAUUAAUAAUAAUAAUAAAAUUAAUAAUAAUAAUAAAGUAAAGUAAAUUAUAUUAUUAAAACUUUAUAUAUUUUUUAAUUAUAUUAACAAUAUUUUAUUAAUUUUUUUAUUAGAUCGGAAUAAAAAUAGGAGAGAGUUGUUAAGAAAAUAAGUUGUUAUUUUAUAAAAUAUUCGCAAUAAAAAUAGGAGUGAGUUGUUAAGAAAAUACGUUGUUAUUUUAUAGGCAAAAUAUUAUGGACACGUUUUGUUUGUGGCAAGUCAACCAUUUGAUUUUAGGAUGAAUGUUUGUGCCAAAAUAUUAGGGACACAGUUUUGUUUGUGGCAAAAUUUUAGGAUGUAUUUUUUUUCUUCAAUUUAAUUUUUUUAUUAAUAGUAUUUUUAUUUUUUAAAUAAAUUAAAAAUAAUUAAAAAAUCAAAAUUCUAUUAUUAAAAUAAAAUAAAAUACAUUAAAUUAGAGAAAAAAAUACGGUUAAAUAGAUGAGUCAAAACAAACAACUUGUUAUAUUAUAAUAACUUUUUUUAUAAAUAAAAAUUAGUAAUAAUAAUAAUAAUAAUGAUAAAUGCCAGAAAUUUCAUUCAUUCUGAAAUUUCUUUUAUAACUACCGGAAAUUUCAUUCAUUCUAAAAUUUCCGGUAAAAAAAAUUCUUUCAUUUAUAACUACCGGAAAUUUCAUUCAUCCUGAAAUUUCCGGUAAACAAUUUUUUUCAUUUAUAACUAUCGGAAAUUUCACUUAUAACUGCUGGAAAUUUCAUUCAUCCUAAAAUUUCCGGUAAAAAAAUUCUUUCAUUUAUAACUACCGGAAAUUUCAUGAUAAAUGAAAUUUCCGGUAAAAAAAAAAUUCUUUUAAAUUUUUACAGUUUUAUUAAGGGUAGUUUGGACAUUUUAAACAUAAAUUUUUUAAAUGAGGGGUAUAGGAUUAAUUGAAGGGUACAAAAGCCAACUAUCUGAUUAUAUUCACAACUCAUAAUGUCCAUUUAGAUUUUAAAUCAAUUAAAAUCACUUGAAAUAUAAGGAUAAAAAAAAUAACACAUUAACAAUAUAAAAGAACUCAAAACAUUUUAUUUCACUUGAAAUAACACAAAACACAUUACUUGACAAGUGAGUAGUCACUUGACAAACAUAAAUCACAUUACAAAACUUAGGUUUUCUUUCAUUUCCUCCCCCUUCAUGAAACUCAACCACUACCACCAUCAAUUUUCACCUUUAUUCCACCACCACAUCACUCUUCAUACCAUUUACGUUUGUCUUUAUAUCAUUUAUAUCUUCUUCAUCUUCCUUGACCUAACCCUUAAUUUCUUCCUCAAAUUCUUCCAUGUUUUUUCAAUAAUCAAUCACAACAAACUCAAUCUUCUUCAUCUUGAUUGGAAAAUUCUUCAAAAAUUACUAUUUUUGUCGUGGGAGAAGAGGGCAUCUUGCGCAGACACCACUUAACAGCGAAAUACCAUUCUACACUUAAUCAACAAGGUAAUAUGGAUUGGAGAUUUUUAUUAAAGGCCUAAAAUAAAAUUUAGAAAGUUUGAGAUUAGGAUUUAUAGGGAUUAUGGUAACAUGAGUUGGGUAUUAGGAUUUAUUUUUCACAUUCAAUUUUAGAUUAAAAUUUAAAAUUAAUUUUUUGUAGGAUGAAUAUGGUUAUUGUGAAUACUUUGUAUGGGUUGCUGAAUUUAUUCAAGCACUUGAAAAUAAUGAAAUAUUUCUAACUCAUGUAUUAAAUCAAGGAAGAGAGAUUGAGAGACACCUAAAUUGACAUGGGGUAUUCAAGACUAGAGUUAAUAUUAAAAUUGAUUCUAUGGCUUCUGAAUAAAGAUGUUUAAAACAAUUGUAAUUGGUGUAUUUGUCAUCCAAAUGUUGCAUAUGGUUUGAUUUCACAAGCCAUAUAUAAAUUAUGUUUAGUAGUUUGAAUAGUUUUUAAUAUAGGUAGUUUGUAAUGUUUUGUGUUUGGUAAGUUAUAUCGUCUUGUCAAAUUGAUUCAUUUUUUUUUUUAAUUUCUAUUUAAAUCUUCAUAUAUUUAAAAAAAAUUAAUGUUGUUUUGACCUUUGUUAAUAGACUCACUUAUGAGAUAUAGUGACACAUCACUCAACCAUGUACACACAUGUCACCUACUUAACCGCGGUAACAUAAAAGUUAAUAUCAGAUACUAAAGUGAUGAAUGUUUAGCUGAAUUAAGAACUUGUCUGAAUUUUUUGCUAAAUUUGAGACUGAAAUAACAUAAAAAUGAUAUUUUAUUUAUUUUUUAUUUAUAAUGAUACAAAACUACGAAAUAAUCAAACUCAAGAGAAAAAGAAGAAAAAAAAGCGCUGGUUACCGGUUGAUGACAUUCUUCUUUUGUUCAGGGGUGUGGCUAACUCUUUUGCAUCACGAUGGAAAGUGAAAUUACUUUAUUUGUGAGGAAUCUUACAUGUUGGUUCCUUAUAUUUUUGGGUCAAUGCACUGCAUAUAUAAGAGUCCCACGUUUCUUAAAAAUGGUAAAAUUAUCAUCUUAUAAAAUUCUAUAAUUGUCACCUUUUCCCUUUUCCCCAUCCAACUAAAAAAAGUUAAUUAUAUCAUAUUAUUCACAAUGUUCAGUUAUUCUCCAAUAUAGAUUUCCUUACAUUACAUCAAUGACAAUGGCUGCGUGGUCCAUUAAAUGAUAAAGCAAAUUAAAUAAUAAAUCAAUUGCCAAUCUAACACGAACCUCUACAAAAUGGUUUAAAAGUGGACACUUACACUUGACUCUUGAGAAGAGGGUGAAGAAUUUUAAGUUGCGACAUAAAAAUCCAAACAUAAAUUACUCUCAUAAAUUACUAUGUUGAACUAUUGAUAGUGAAAUAUUCUAGUUACGGUGAUUUCCUACUUUUAAUUUUAAUUGAAGCAUGGAUUAUGUUCUUAAUAAAAGUUUGAGAGUUUGUUAGUGGUAUACCGUGAUCAAGACCUCAAGAUGUUUAAGUAUAUAUUUAGUCAAUGAAUUACUUAGGUUUCCUUAUAGAGACAAUGGUCCUUAUAUCUACCUUAGUUUAGCAUCUUUCCAUCCCACACUAACUUGGUAACUACCUUUCCAAUACCGAAUCUCCGACAGGAUAUCGUUUGUGAUCUCCUUAUUUUCCACGAGAUUAGUCUUAACUACAUCUUAUUGGAUUUUACCUAGCAAAUAUUGGGUUUAAGAUCUAUAACCGGCCCUCGGGACUUAAGUGAAUGGGCUUUCACAUUCUCAGCCUAGGUUUAAAAAUCCUAUAACAUACUGUAUUAAGUUUUUUUUUUUUUUGUUAAAACAAAAAUUUACAAAGAUAAAAAUUAGAUCGAGUGAAAAACACCCGUCUACAGUCAUCAUAAAGGAGAAAUAAUAAACUAGGAGGGGGAGUUAGUAGCCCGACAAAAGUAAAAUCUCCACUAAGAUUAAGGUUUGUCAACUUAUCUCCGCAUCAAUUCGCCUCAUGAUAGAUAUAGUUAACCACAACUUUAUUCCUCACAACACACAAUAGAGAUGUCAUUUUGAAGAAGAGGUGUAAGAUAAAGAUUACAAAUUUUCCUGAACCAAAUCAUGUUGACCACAAUAAAAGAGUCCAUUUACACCAAAAUAGUAGUCAAACCCAAAUUACAAGUCAUUUUGAGACCAUGAACCAGCCCCCAAAGCUCAGCUAACACAGAGGUAGCUCGACCAAGAUUACAAAAAAACCUACAAAUAUCAAUUCCUCUAUGAUCUCUAAUAAGUCCUCCAUAAGCAGUCAUACAUGUUGUGUCGUGAUAAGAACCAUCAAUAUUUAACUUGAAAGAAUUAAUAUAAGGAGAGUACCAUUUAACAUUAAUCUUUAUCCAACCUCCAUAAAGGAAGGAGGACUAAGAUAAAAAUGCUGAUGAAUGGAGAAAAUUUGUCUAUUCAAAGAUUGCAAAAAUUGCUUAGGAUCAAGUGAUGUUCUUGAGAAAACUAUUUGAUUCCUAUUCAUCCACAACUUAUUUACCAUGAUACCAAACAUAGGAUACCAAUGGCCUCUAAUCAAGCCAACAUCAGUUAAUGUAACAUUAAAUCCGAUCAUGGAGAAAGUUUAAGAUUAAAAAAGGGUUUGUGCCACAUCACAAUCUCUUAGAACAUGCAUAACGAUUUCUAGAGCUUGGGUGCAUCGAAUGCAAACAUAAUUAUCUUACAUACCUUAACGUUUUCUUUCAACUUUAGUUAGAAGUUUUGUGUGUCAAAUAUUCCAAAUAAAAGUAAGAACUUUGAUAGGGCCAUUCUAUUUCCACACCAUAUAGAAAUUAGAAGACUCAAUAGAAGUAGAGUCAUAUGCUGAUAGAGCUUGGUAUGCAAAUUUAAUAGUGAAAAAACAUCAUUAUAAAAUUUCUAUAUUGGAAAAUCAUUCUGACCUGCAAAAGGAGGCUUAAGGCUUACAAUUUUUGUGCAUAUGUUAUUAGGAAGAGGUUGAUUGAUCAUAGACUAGUUCCAACCAUUCUCACCACCAUAAUCACUAACAUGAAACUUCACAUCAUAUGGAGGAAUAACUAUAGCAUGAUUACAUAGUUUACCAACUCUAGAAACUCAACCAUCUAGCCAAAAUCUAAUAGAUUAACCAUUUCUAAUAAUUCAAGAAAUUCCAUUUUCCACUUUAGAUCAAUAUUUGGUAAUUCAUCUUCAAAUAUGAGAAAUUUUAGACUCAGCACUAAGUGUGUGGCAUAAUUAAAUUGCUGACCUUAUAGGUAGAUGUGGGAUUCAUAAAGACCUAAUUUGCAAAAGCAAAGAAUGAAAUGCGUAGCAAAUCCCAUUUAUUUUUGAAGAAGAUAUGAUGAAAGUCAUGAGGUUUAGGAGUUAUCCAUAGAAAACAAUGCAUUAUAACUUCAUCAGAAGAAAACUCACAUGCCGCAUACAAAAUAUCUUCAAUAGAACUUCUAUAAUGUCAUGGUUAUCAUAAAUUCAUUUAGCUCUAGAUUUUCUAAACCAGUAAGUUUCUUCCUCUAAGAGUAUAUAAGUAUAAUUUUUCAACAUAUUGUAAUAGAGCGUACUAAUCUUCUCCUCCCAUGUGAUAAGAAUAAUUUAGUAAUAGAACUUUCUGGAAAUGAAGUUUGCCAAGAGAGGUUACCCAUAGUUCUAUCUAACUUUUCUCUAAGAUCCUUGUGCAACUUAGUGAGUUUCGAUCCCUUAACACCCAAAUCAAUUAGAUUACAUUAGUUUAUGCAAUGGAGUAAUUUUGAAGCUCAAAUUGUGUUGAUAAGACCUCCUCCAAUUUUUUAAUGAUAAAAAAGAACUAUAUUCAAAACACAAGCUAAACACCAAGGAACAUUAGAAAGCGAAUGCAUAUCACAAAUCUCUUUCCGUAAAUCAUACACGAUAGAAAAAAACCAAAGAGAUUCAGACCGAAGAAAAACUUUUAACAAACACAUUGAGUAGAAGUAGAGAUCACAUCAAUAGUGAUGACAUUCAUCUUUCAAAGAUACCAAAUACCUUCAAAAAAAACAUGUGCCUCAACCCUAACCAUACCAACAAAGCCAAGUUACUCGAUCACAAAUAUUUGUAUAUUUUUAAUAUACAAAUAUGUGGCCCGUAUGUUUUAUUUAUCAAUAAUAAAGAUUUGUCCUUUUUUAUUUAUUUAUGAGUGAUAAAUAUUUAUUUUAAAAUUUUUUAUAUUUAUCAAUGAAAAAUAUCUGUCCUAUAUUUUUUUUAUGUAACAAUAACAUAUAUUUGUCUGUUUCUUUUAUAUAUUUAACAGUGAUAAAUAUUUGUUCUAUUUUUUUUUUUUAAAUUUACUAGUGACAAAUAUGUUACUCAUAUUUUUUAUGUAUCAAUUAUAAAUAUUUGUCUCAUGUUUUUUAUAAGUGAUUAAUAUUUAUUGCGUGAUUUUUAUAUUUAUCAGUGACAAAUAUUUAUUAUUUUUUUAUAUUAAUCAUUCACCGAUAUUUUUUUUUGAUUUUUUCCGAUAAAAAAUUUUCGAUAAAAAUUUUUUGAUUUUUUUUUAUAUAAAUGAUUUAUCUUUUUAAUAAUUUUUUUUUCACAAAAUUUUUUUAAAGUUUUUUUUUAUUUAUUAAUAUUAUUAAUGAAUUUUGUAAGGUUGGAUCGAUCAAAAGUUCCUAAUUUGACCAUCCUUAGAAUUCAACAAUAUUUAGUUAUAAUUUUCUAAAAAUAAUCACUCCUAAUAAUUAAUUGUUAUUUUUGUUAGAAAAAAAUUAAACUCGCGAGUUUGUGUCACCCUAACUCCACCAAAUGAUAUUAUGACUCAUUUAAUCAUAGUUUACUUUCAAUUGUCGAACUCUACAUUAUAUCUAAAAUUAUUUUGAAUUUAGAAAAAUACUUAAUCAUUUUAUUAACUAAUAUUAUGAUACGACAAAAAAAUUAUCAAAACAAACUUAAAUCAACUAUUAUUUUUUAAUUUUAAAAUAUAUAAAAAAAUUAUAUUAUUAAAAAACUUGUAUAACAAUAGUUUAUUAUAUUGUACUUUGUCUGAAAACCUCAACAUUCACCUUUUAAAAUUUCAAAUUAUAGUUAUUUUCUUCUUUCUUCGUUGGAGACGAAUAACUUUAGACCAUUUUUUUUUAUCUAUAAUCAUUUCUUUAAUUAUUUUUUUAUCUAAAUAAAUAGCUUCUACAUAAAUUUAUUUAUUUUUUUUUAUCUUUUUUGUGAUUUCAUCAUUUGGAAACAUUUUUUAGUUUUUUGUCUAAGUGCGAAUCUUUUUAAUUUUUUCGUCUUUGUACGGUAUUUAUUUUGGUUGAGAAAUUUCAAUAAAUAAAUUUAACGUCGUCAUAUUUAUUUUGGUUGAGAUAUAUAUUCCAAACCCCUAAAUUUUGUCAUAUUUAUUGAGAUGUUAUCGCAUUAUGUUAUAUUACUAUUUUACGCUAUAAACUUAAGGUAGGUGAAUUUGUUUGCAAAGUCAUUCUUAUUAUUUUUAACAAAGUUGAAUUUAUGUUGUAUAUAUGUAUUAUACCAUUUGAAUCAAUAAAUAUUGUUUAUUUUAAUAAAAAAAAUAAGAUUGUACUUUGUCUGACUUCUAAGCACAUAAUUUGAGUUCUGCAACCCCUCAUAAAAAAGUAUAAUUUCUCUACUAUGAAAUUGGGUUUGGUCUUCUAUGUUACAUCAUAAGGAAUUGAAGUACUCCUUAUACUCUAAUUAAUAAUUAUUUUACUUAUAGAAAAACAAGUAAUUUUGUUAUCAGUUUUAUUUACGACAUAUUUUGAUAUCAUUUAUUAUAUCUCAAAAUAUAAUUUUUCUUAUAAUUAAUUGAAGUAUGUCGGCAGGUAUUUCGUACCUAAAACAUGUUCAUAAAAGAUUAACUAAAUUUAUUUUUUUUUUUAAAUAUAAUUAAUUAAUUAAUUAUUUAAAUCUGUAUAAUAAUUUUCUCUAAUAUAUUUCUUAUAUUAUAUUAUUGAAAUUUAAAGAUAUACAUGUAUAAUAUACAACAUAUAUAAGGGUGUUCAAAUCCAAACCAAUUUGAAAAAGAACUGCAAAAUAAUCCAAAAAAAUAAAAAAAUGAAACCAAACAUUAUUAGAUGUAUUUGAAUAUUUUUUUAUUGAAUCUGAUUUCGGAUUGAAUUUUUAAAACCAAAGCAAACUGUAUAUAUACAUUUUUUAAUACUUAUUUAUUUUUUAUUAGUAUUAUAUAUUGCAUUACUCUAUUAUUUGUUACUUGUUAGCUUUAAUUUUUAUUAAUAAUUAAUAGUACUUAUUUAUUUAAUUUAACAUUUUUUUACAAUUGCAUGUAUUUCAAAUAUAAUCAAUCAAUAUUAUUUUAUAAUUUUAAUUUUUAAUAUAUUAAAUAUUAUAUUUUAUUUCAAUUUUAACGUAAAUUUAUAAUAAUAAUAAUAUUUAUGAUUGUAAUUUAGAUAACAAAAAUCAAUUCAAUUUAAAAUGCAUUUAUUCAGUUUGGAUCAUUUUUUUUUCUUCAAAUAUCAUCCAAACUAUAUCAAACUACAAUUAUUUUAAUUUUUAAAUCUAAAGAAUUUUUGCCUCGUAACGACUCAAACCGAAUCACAUCAAAGACACUCCUAAAUUACAACAUCCUCAAUAGUUUUUUUUCCGUAUAAAUUAGAUAUCCUACGAAUAGUAUUCUUUAUCAAGAACUUUAACUUUGUCAGAUUUUAGAGUUUAAUUUGAAUUUAACACUUCUAAUUAAACUUAAAUAGAUAUAAAUUAUUUCAUGAAAUGGUCAUGGUAACAUCCUAUCACUAGGUAGUUAUGAUGAAGCAAACAAACAUAUGAGAGAGAAGAAGUGGUAUCUCGUUUGGAAGAACACUUUAUAAUUUUUGGUAUCAAGUGUGUGAUGAAAACUGCAAGGAAGAAUAUACUAAGGCACUAUGAUGUAAGACCAUUUAUUAAUUGUAAUUAUUGAGAAAGGGGGAUGCAACCAGAUCUUGGAAAGUUUAUUUUAGUCAUCCACUUAUUUAGGAAAGUGAAAAUAUUGUACAUCAUUAAAAUGAGAAAAGCUAUUCAAAAAUCAAUUAUUUUAUUUGUAUAGUUAGACACGCGGCGCAUGAAAUCAGAUAUUAACAUAUCAGUUAUCACCUAUGUCUGUAUCAUACACAUUUCUUUACGAUUUAUAAUAACAAAAACUUGUCCAAAAAGUUGUCUUUUAAGACGAUGAUAUGCGAUUCGUUAAUACGCAUCUUUAAAUUUGGAUCUUCGAUUUCUUCAAAAUUAAUGUGUAUAAAUUUUGUUAUUAAAUUUCUUAAAAGAAAAAAAUUAAUUUUAUAAAAGAUAAAAUAUUAACUGAUAUACAAUUAUUUUACAUUGAUAUUCACGUACAACAAAUCAUUGUACAAUUAUUGUUUUAAAUAAUUAUAAAAAUAAUUUAACAUAUUAUAAAUUAAUAAUUAUUAUAUAUUGAUUGUUGAUAUAAAAUUAAUUUUUAUCCAAAAUCUAUUUUAUAAUAAUCACAAUAUAAAUGAUAACGUGAUUAUAAAUUUAAAAGAUGAUCAUAAAUAAAGUAACUCAUACUAAGAUGCUAGUAACAUGGAUUUCAUAUUAGUGAACUCUAUCAAAGACUAGUUAAAAAAUGAUAAGAUAAUUUUACAAAAACCAAAAUAAAGGCUUGAUUUAACUAUAAUUUUAUUAUCUUAAUUUUAUGAAUUUAUGAAAUUGAUCAUUUUAUCUUAUAAGUCAAUAAUUUCAGUUCAUUUUUUAAUUUUUAACUAAAAAAUAAAGACAUGACAUACUUUAAUUAAUGAAUCUAAAUAAUAUUAUAUUAUAAAAUUAUAUAUUAUAUUAUUUAAAAUAUUUUAAAUUAUCAAUUUUUUAAUUUAAAAAUUUAAAAGAGAUUAAAACUAUUAACUUUUAAAAUAAAGAGAUCAGUUUCAUGAAUUGAUAAAAAAAAAUUAUAAUUCUAUAAAUUAAUAAAAUUAAAUAGAUUAAAAUCGUAAUUAAACUUAAAAUUUAUUAAAAAUUUAAUUCUCUCGUUAAACAGCGUUUAAUUGUCAUGUGAACAUCGAAUAAGAGACUAAUGACUUUUCUUUCGUACAUACGUGGAGUUCGAGAGAGUACUUUUUCUUACUGUAGUUUGAAAAUACAUGCUGCUGCUGGUUCUAAUUACUACUAUUAUUUUCUAAAUAUUUUAUAAAUAUAUCUUUCGUAAAAUAAUGUGAAAUAUUAACUGUAUUUACUAAUAUUUUAAAAAAUAUAUACAAAGAUAAAAAAAUUCAUUUACAUAAUAAAUAUAUUUUUAAAAAUUACAAUUUUUUAUAAAUAAAACAAAAUAAUUUUUUUAAAAUUUCUUAUAUUUAUUGCAAUUUUUUAAAAUCACUAGAGAAUGAUCUACACAAGAGAAUGAUCUAUAUUUAUUACAAUUUUAUGUUCAAAGGAAACGUCAAUGUUGAUAAUCUUAAAGUAAAUUUAUUGAAAAUACAUGCAAUAUCUAUUGACUUUGGAGUAGAUAAUGAAUCACGGUAGAGUUGGUCUUUGACAAUUUGGGUGUUUUUGGCCAUUGGAUAAUUCAAUAAAGUGGUGUUCUUGUAAAUAUUGAAUAUCAUUUUAUUUUCAUUUAUUGUAAAAUUAUUAAUAAUUAUUUUAUAAUCAAAGUUUUCUUUAAAAAAAUAUUUAAUUUAUAUUAAUUUAUAAUUGUAACAAAGGCAAUACUAUUUUAGUAUAAUUUAUUUUUAGCUUAUUGCAAUUUUAAUUUCUUUAUUUUUAUCGAUUCAAAAAAUUGGUCCAUCUAUUUUAAAAGUUAUCAAUUUUAAUUCAUUUAUUUGUUUUUUAUUUUUUAACUAAAAAAGCCAACGUGACAUGUUUUAAAUAGUAAAAUAUAUAAUACAGUAAUGUAGAAUAAUUAAUACUGAUGAAUUCAGAAUAAAACACCGUAAAUAUUUAACUAUUACUUUAAGAAAUUUUUCAUAUUUAUAAUUUAAUAAAUGAAAUAUGAAUAAUUAAUACAUCUAGAUAUUUCUAUAUUAAGAAAUUGUAUGUCACGUCAUAUAAAAUAUGUCAAGUCGUCAUUUUUUUUUCAAAAAUUUGAAUGAGAGGCAAAAACCGUAGACUUUUCAAAUAAUAGAAUUAAUUUUGUGAAUUGAUAGAAAUAUAUUAAAAAAUAAUUGCAAUUAAACCUUUAUAUUUUUUAAUUAUAAAUAUGUCUGUUUCGACAACUUUAUAAUUUUUUAUUAAAAAUUUUAUCUUUUAAAAACUAUUCUUAAAUAAACUUCUAAUAACUACAUUGAGUAAUCUUCCUGCUAUUUUAUUUUUUCCAUUUUAAUUUUUUUAUUAGUUUUUUUUGUUAAAUUACAUCUGCGGUCCCUUAACUUAAUUUCAGGUAACGUUUUAGUCCUUUAUAUUUUUUUUCCCGAGUUGGUCCUUUAUUUUAAUUUUAAGUGACAAUUUGAUAUUUUAUGUUUAAAUAUCAACAAUGUUGUCCUUUUUUUUUCUUCAAAAAUUCAAAAAAAUCAUCAAAAUUUUCAAACAAAACCCAUAAAAUUCAUUAUCAUCUUCAAUAAAAUACAAAUUCAAUCAAAUUCAUAACUUAAAUCUUAAAAUAAACUCAUAUUUUAAUUCCUUAUUUGAUGUUGUUGGAGAUAAAAAUAUGAGUGUAUUUGAAUAUUUGAAUUAUGAAUUUGAUAAAAUUUGCAUUAUAUUGAAGAUGAUUAUUAAUUUUAUGGGUUUUGGUUGAAAAUUUUGAAGAUUUUUUUUGAAUUUUUGUAUAAAAAAGGAUAACAUUGUUGAAAUUUUAAAAUAUAAAAUAUCAAAUUGUCAUUUAAAAUUAAAAUAAAGGACCAACUCGAAAAAAAAAAUUAAAACGUUACCUGAAAUUAAGUUAAAGGACCACAAAUGUAAUUUAGGCUGAUUUUUCAUUGCAAUUAAGCAAUUUCAAUGACGGAUUUAUGUUUUAAAAAAAUUCAACAAAUGAUAUAUGGAAAUUCAAUAAUCAUUUAGCUCAAUAAAAAAAAUACACACGAACACAUGAGUGCCAGCCUAUUUUUUUAAUUAUAAAUAUCUCUGUUUCGGAUUAGGUCCAGUUUGGAUCAAUUACCUUUAAAGUUUUUUUUUUUAUUAAAAAUCUUAUCUUUUAAAAAAUAUUCUUAAAAAAACUUCUGAAAACUUCAUCUUUCUACAAUUUAUUUUCCUUUUCAUUGUUUACUUUUUUCUAUUAAUUUUUUCAUUGCAAUUAAGAAUUUCAAAGACAGGUUUAUUUUAAAAAAUCCAAUAAAUGGUAUAUAAAGAAAUUCAAUAAUUGUAAAUACAUUUUAGCGCAAUAAAAAAUGAUAACAAAUGAACACACAAGUGCCUAAGAUUUUAACAAUUUCAAUUUAUGUUUUAUCAAUAUAGAUAUCCAAGAACAAGAAUGAUAUAAAAUUUUAAUAAUUUCCAUUUAUGUUUUAUCUAGCAAGAUAUCUAAGAAAGGGACUAUUAUCCUAAUUAAAAUACAUACUUAAUUUUACAUUUGGUCUGUUAUAUUUAUUUUAGGUUUCACUUUAAUCCCUAUUAGAAUUUCGGUUGAACUCUUAAUGUGGGACUCUUAAGUCUUAACAAUCUAUAUAUUUUAAAAGAUUUAUAAAGGAAGUUUGAUAAAUCAUAUAAUUUACACUUUUUUGAAGUUAAAUUAUAAAAAUUAUAAGUAUGGCUGAUAGGUAGAAGUACAAGUACAAUCUUCCUGAUGCGUGGUCAAGAAAAUCGGCUAAUACGACCUUUGAGCUCUUAUAAAAGGCAAGUUAUUAGAUAGACAUACCAUACUGUUCACAACAUUAUAAUUAUAUACUUUUUUUCAUGUAGAAUUUUCCUUUUCAAAAGAAAAAAUGAAUAUCUCACGUGUCAUAGAAGGUGUGACUUGUCAAAAAUGGUGUAGAGAGCGUGUAUAGGGUCAAAAAGAAUGUAUAAAGAUAUAUAAAUGGAUAUAAAAUUUUGUCACCGAUACGAGAUACAAUACUGGCUUAAUACGGCCUUUAAGUUCUAAUAAAAGGCAAUAUUAUUAGUACUACUUUUUCUUUUUACAUAAAGAGUUCAAGACGUGUCAUUCAUGAUAAAGGUACGUGAUUUAAUGGGUAACUACCACUUUUGUUGUAAGAUUAUCGUUGAUUUAGCUAUAAUUUUUAUAUUAGUCAUUAAAUGAUUAGAAUGAUCUUUGAAAAUAUAACUUACUGUUAUAAAAUCUUUAAAAUAUAAAAUUUAUUGUUAAAAUAGUAUGUAUUUAUUAUCAUGUUAUAAAUUAAAUUGAUUAAUAUUUUAAUAAUUAGAUGACAAAUUUAAAUUUUUGACUCAAUUAAAGACUAAAAUAAUAACGCUUUACAUUUUUAGAAACUAAAAUAAUGAUUUAAUAUUUCAAAACUAGUGGUUCAAAGAGUUGUUGUUAUUAAGAAUAACAUGAUCAAAGUAAUCAUAUAAGAAAAAUAAAUUUUGGAACUUGAUGGAAAAAAAGUAAUAUAAGGUUUCAUAUAUAUGGAAUAAAAAUAAAGAAAUUGAUACAUUGAGUUCUCCAUAUAAAGAGAAAUUAACUACCAAACUAAAAUCUAACAAACUAAUUGAAAAACUCUAACUAACAUUAUAUUUCUUCUAACAUCCUCCACAAAACUCAGAGUAAGAUGUCAUUAAUUUGAGUUUGGAUUAUAUUAUUCAUCCAGACACCCAUGACAAACUAAAGUCUGGUCCGUUUGUCGACUUGUCAUUCCUCACUUCGUCCACAACAAGUUUCGUAACACAAUUAUAAGGUAUUUGAGAACAAUAGACAAAUAAACAGGAGAACCGUAUCCGACACGCUGCACAUAACAAUAGACUUUUCUUGACCUGGAGAUUAAUUAGUUUUAGGUUUUAGUUUUAAGGUUUUGAGGUAAGAUGUGAUAUUCAAUUCACUUGUUUGACUGCUCUUAGUCGAAUGUGGUGAUCCCACAAACUCCUUUAUGAUCCCACAAAUUUCACUGUUGUAUAUUUUCCGGAAAAAUUGAAAUAAAUUUUCCAAUACUUCCGAAAAACUUUAAAAAAGAUUUAUAUGAGGCAUUUAUAUCUUUUCCUUUAGUUUGUAUUGGUACAGGAACAAUUUGGAAGGAAAAUUUUCCCUUGUACCCACUCAUUUAUCCCUAUACUCCCAAAAGUAAAGGAAAAAUACUAAAAUACCCUCAUAUAUAUAUAAAUAUUUUUUUUUAAUUUCUUCAUUUAACAUUUCCGGAACAGAAACAACAAGCAAAAAAAAAAAAUUCCGGAAAACUUCUUUCAAGUUUUCCGGUACACAACUUUUCCGGAAAACUUGAAAAAAGUUUUCCGGUACAGAACAUCAUUUUCGAAAAACUUCAACGUAACAUUUCCGGAAACCACCGAAAAACUUCAUGCACAUGUUUUCCGGUAGUUGUUUGAUUUUUUUUUUAAAUAUUUUUUAAAAUAAUUUUUUUGUUUUAUUUUUUUUAUUAUAUUAGUAUUUAUUUGAUUUUAACUAAGAUCUUGUUAAGGAAGUAGUAUUAAUUAUUAAUUAUGGUGUAUUAAUUAUGAAUUAUUAUGGUAUAUUAAUAGUGUAUUAAUUAUUGAAUGGUGUAUUAAUUAUUAAUUAUUUAUGGUAUAUUUAUGUGUGUUAAUUAAUAUUUAUGAUGCGUUAAUUAUUGACUAAUGUAUUAUCAUUUAUAAAAGUAAUAAAAUUAAAAAAAAAAUUAAAAAAAUGUUGUGUACCGGAAAUCUUUUUGAGAAAGUUUUCUGGAAACACCUUCUGUACCGGAAAUCUUUGGAAUGAAGUUUUCCGGUAGUACAAUUUUUCACUUCUGUAUCGGAAAUCUUUUUUAAAGUUUUCCGGUAACAACUUUCUGUACCGGAAAACUUGAAAAAAGUUUUCUGAAAAUAAGGUGUGUACCGGAAAUCUUUUUUGUAGUUCCGGAAAAGAAUAAAUUAUAAAAAAAAAAAAAAAAAAAUUAAUAAGGGCAUAAUUGUCAUUUUCAAAAAAUUAUGGGGGUAUAGGUAUAAAAAUGGGGGUACAGGGGAAAUUUUUCAUUUGGAAGAUAUAGAGUAAAAUUUUCUUAUUAUAAGCAUUUCAUACAAUACACGGCCCAAUGCAUUUUUGGCGAUGUUCAAACCAUACGGUAUACCAUCCAACAAAAACUAUCCGAACUAAUUAUAAGCAUUUUAUAUAGUACACGGCCCAAUACAUUUUUGGUGAUGUUAAAAACCAUAUAGUACACAACCCACCAAUAUCCAAAGAUUAGGAAGUCUUAAUCAAUAUCCCACCGUUAAAAUUUAGGAUUGAAUAUGUUUUUAGAUUUUAUAGAAUUUUAAAUUUUCAAUUUUAGUAAUUGUAUUUGUAAGUUAAGUUAUAACUCAACUGACAAAUGUCAAAAUUAUUUGGUUAAAUAUUUUGUUUAUGGUUCGAACUUAAGUCGCAUUUGUGUAUGAGUUUUUGGUGCUAUUUACAAUUAUGUCUACUAACCCAAAAAAAUUACAACUUUUAAUCGUAGAAAAUAUCAUGCAUAUAGUUUUAAUCUUUACUGUUAAAUCAACGUAUAUUUUUAAAAGAUUUUUUGCAGAUAUUUUAACAACAUUAUAAAAAGUUUGUAAACAAAAAUUAAGCUCAAAAUUUAAUUUCUAGUCCAUAUUUUUAUUACUUUUAUCUUAAGUUUUUUAUAUUUAAAAAAUUUAUAUUUAAUUUAUCGAAAGUUAAAAAUAAAUCUUAAUUUUUGUAAAUGAACUUUUUAUAAUAUUAUAAAAAUAAUUACGAAAAAUCAUUCGAAAAUUUUGUGAAUGCAUAGAUUUCCUAGUUGUUCUAGUCUAAGUUUUAUCUUUGAUUUCGAUGAUUGUUUCUUAAGUUAGAUUUAGAAUCUAUACAUGUCUUUGUUGAUUUCACUUAUCCACCUUAUGCUUGAGCAAAAAGUAACUCGAGGAAAUUGACAUUUGAAUCAUGCAUAGUUAAAUGCUUCAUUAACACUCUUUUAAAUUUAUUACUUCUCAUUUCAAAUGAUUUUACACAUGUUUUUUGAAUCUGUUUGAAUAGAUUCAAGGAAUGUUUGAAUAUAUUCAAACCGUAAGUCUUAACAGAUUUAGUGUUUCCUUGAUUUGAAUCAAGCAUUAGUUAGGGAAACUCCUUGAAUCGAUUCAAUGUUUCAUUGAUUUGGAUCAAGUUUGUCCAUGAUUUCUUGAAUCCAUUCAAAGAUUAUUUGAUCUAUAUCACAUUAAAAAAAAAGUUUUGUUUUUUGUUCUUUUUUUUUCAAUGUUAGUUUCUUACACCCAUAAAUAAUCAUCUUGGAACUUUUAAUAAUUUAACAUUCUGAAAUUCAUCUCAAUAUUUUCAACCUCUCAAGUUAAAAAAAUUUAUUGAAAGGGGUUUUUUAGAGGGAUUUGAAUCUUCAUCAUUGAAAGAGAGCUUUCUUGUUGAAGAUUGCAAAAUGUUGAUUUUGGAGUUGUCAAAAUCAAGUGCUAGAAGUGGGAUUCAUAGAAGAAACUCUCAUAAAAGAAUCUUGUAUUAUUGCACAACUAUGUUAAUGGAAGAAACUCUCAUCAAAAUUUGGUUUUAUAUCUUAACUCUAUCCUUCUUUAAUUUUCUGCAUUGAAAUGACAAUUUGUGUACAGAUAAAUUCUGAUUUUUGUGUUCUUGAGAAAUUAUGAAGUGUUUAAAACAAAAUUUUAUUUUCUUAAUCAAUUCAUAUUGAAGAUAUUAAUACAAUUGUUUCAAGUUUUUUUUUUUUGUUAAUGUGCUAUGCUGAAUUUUUCUGUAAUCAUUCAUUUGUAGAGUUGAUUGAUUCUAUAUUUAUACAAUUACUAAGUUAACUGAAUUUCCUUUCAAUUAAAUUUUCAAUUUAUUUAUUCACAACCUUUAUCUAAAUUGGUGUUUAGCAAUUCGAAGAAAUAUUUUUUUGUAAAGUAUCAAGCAUGUGUAAUCGAUUCAAUAUUUUUAAAAAUUAUGUUUUUUUUUCUUUUUUUUUGAAAUCCUAUUCUCGCCUCUAGAAUUUUGGUGCCUUUACAACUAACAAUUUUAAAUUUGAAAAAUAAUUAAAUAUGUUUCUUUUCACAACUAACAAUUUUUAAAUUUAAAAAAUAAUUAAAUAUGUUUCUUUUCGACAGAUAAUAAAAUAGUUUAUUGAUAAUUUUAAAAGAACUGAAAGUUGUAUUUUUUUUUACAGUGACUAUAAUUGAAAAGUUAGAAUUUUAUAGAGACUAAAACGAUGCAUCAUAACUCUACAAUUUAUUGGGUUAGCAACUUAUUUCCAAUAAAUUUUAAAUGUUAAUUAGAUAAUUAACCUAACUUAGUCACGAUUCAAAGAUGAAUGAUUCAUUUUCGUAUAAAUCUAUCAGUCGUCGAACUUUUUGAGCUGAUCUAUUUUGCCUGCCAUUUUAGGCGGUUUGAGUUAAAGAUUUUAAUUCAUCUAUCUAAAUUGGUCAAUUUCGUUUAUAUAGUUACACGUUUAACUGUAUAAAUAAACUAAGAACCUAAUAAAAAAUGGUAGGUCAUUCAUUACUAAGUAAUUAAAAACACUUUAGUAUUUUAAGUUGAUGUACAUAAUAUUAAUUAAAGUAUAGGGUAAAAUAAUAAUAAUAAUAAUAAUAAUAAUAAUAAUAAUAAUAAUAAUAAUAAUAAUAAUAAAUAUUACAUUUAAAUUAAAAAAUAUAAUUCAUUUUAGAAUGUUUUUGUUAUAAAAAAUACGACAAUUAUUGUGGCGGAAAGAGUAACUUAUUCCAUAUAUAUAUAUAAAGCAACUAAUGAUAGGAAAUUAAAUCAGAUUUCACAGGUCCAGCUAUUAAAUGACAUUUGAAUUUAAGAUAUCAAUUAAUUCUAAUAACAAACUAAAACGUUCAUAUAGGCUUGUAAUAGUAGUAUUAAUUUGACUAUUAGGUAUAAAAUGUGGUUGGUGACUAUAAGCUAGGGUCAUGCAAUGGCAUAUGCUCAACAACUCAUUAGCAUCAACCUCCUUAUAAAAAUGAGAACCCACAUAAUUAAUUUUGUGUAGAAAAGAGAGAGAGAGAGAAUAAGAUAAUAUCAAAUUAAUGGGUAAGUGGUUGUGCAUCUUGGUGGUUUUGGCUAUGGUCGUGGUUGCAACAAGUGCAAGGAAUGUGCCCAUUGGAGGCACUAAUUUGAAGGAACAAAAAUGCAUUGGCAGGUUUGGUACUGGUGUAGGUGCUGAUCUUGGUAUGCCCCUAAUUGGUGGCCUUGGUGGUUUCGGUGGAACUGCUUUUACCGGCCGUCGUAUUCCUCAACCUUGAAUUAUGGCUUUAACUUAUUUUCAUUCUCGUCUUGAAUAUAAAAAAAUAUUUAAUCAAUAAAAAUUAAUAUAUUUAGUAUAAAAUUUAUACUAAAUAUAUUUAUUUUUAUUGAUUUACUUUUUCUUAUAUUUGAGAUUGAAUAAAUUAUAUAUAAUAUCAUAUAUGGCAUCUUAUUAUUAUUAUAAGAGAAUAAAAUGAUUAGUAUGAUGUCAUGAUUAAUGUUUUAGUGUUUUAUGAUUUUUUGCCAAGAAAAAAGAUCAGUACGUACUAGCUUGUUUUUGUAAUGUAUGGAUGUGUUGUUCCUUUUUAUGUAAGGGAAGAUAUAUUAUGCAUGAUUUCACCUUCUUAUGAUAUGAAAAAAUAACUUUAUUUUUUCCUAGAUUCACCAUGAACCCAUCAAUGAUUGUCACCCUUCUCUAUGGAACACAGUUCAAGGUCAAAACCUUCACAACCACCUAGGACAAGGACACAUCACACAUUAACUAUAAAACUGGAAAUAUAUCCAAUUCCAUGAGGACUUU